UGUAUUUUUAUAGUUUAGUCAUUUAAAAUAAUUAUGUCAGAGUUACAUUUUUAAAGAACAUACAAAUUAUACAUCAUGAGAAAAUAAGGAUGGGCUCUUGAAGUUAACAGAAUGCAAUCACUGGUGGGGUUAGGGAAGAGAAAGGGGAAUAAAAUGACCCAUCUCCUAUAAAUAUUUCAUAGAAACAUAGGUACUUGAAUUUGUAAGUGAAUUUGGAACUCAUUUGACCCUCCUAUGCAUCAAAUAGUGGGAUUUAAAAAUGAACAGACCUCUGAAAAGGAUAUUUUCAUUUAGAACCCACUGUCAAUGAUUUCACCAACUCCCAGUGCUUGCUUUUUUGGCCAAUUCUGAUUUUUAGAAAGCUCUGUUGAUGUAUUGAAUAGGAAUUUUUCUCUUUGUAAUUAGCCUGAUAAAAUGUGUAAAUAGCAAAAUAAAAAAUAAACCUCCUUAGGGGUGAAUUACGAGAGGGGAAUUGCUUAUCUAGGUUCAUGCGUUUUGGGCAUUGUACCCUUGACUUUUAAAUUCAGAUAGAAUUUACCCAGCUCAGGCACUUCUGCAUAAAAACAGAUUUCAUAGAGAUUUUUAAACUCUAGACUGUGAGAAAAUAGCUUAAAAAUUUAAGAAUAAUUCAAUCCACAUAUUAGAAUGAAUGUGUGAUAGUUUGCUAAACAUAUACUCCACUUAUAGACAAUGAAUUAGGGAUAAACAAUGAUUUUUAUAUCAGCUUUUACUGACUCAUUAAAAGCAUCUGCUUUUCUGUGCCAAGUUCUGUCUGCCAUUGAUCCACAUAGAUCUUGUCUCUCCUAUUCACAUCAUCACUGACAAUAAAAUACAUGAGGUGGCGACUUUGAUACAGGAAGUAUGGAGGCUGUGAGUACACACAGGAGGAGAAACUAGCCAGACAUAAAGGGAUGUGGUAAAGCACUGUCUGAGUUGGAAUAAACAAGAUGUGCAGGAAAGUGUUGAAUGAAACAAGGGCAACUUGGGCAAAGGUUAAAAGGCAAUGGGUCGUGUCCUUAUGGAAGAAAGGACAGGAGUUUAGUUAUUACAUGAAUCUGGAGCAUGACAAAGAGAGUACAGGAACAAGCGAGAGUGAGAGCACUCAGAGAAAAGGCUAGAGAGGCUUAACUUCAUUAGCAGUUUGACUCACCUGAGCUUAAACUCCAAAAAAUUACCUCCAUUCAUACAAGGCAUUUAUUAGAGGCUGGGACAUGGGUUCAUUUUUAAUAAAUGGAAAAGUGAAGUAAUACAGGCAGAGGAGAUUCACCUCAGAAAGAGAACUUAGUGGAAAUACAACACCAUCCUACCUCUGAAACUGGACAGCUACCCAAAGAAGAGGAAUAGAAACCACAGGUGAUGGAAAAAGUCUCAGACCGGAUAUCUGAGACUGAGUAGUUUACACUGAGCAUGAAUUUAUUUCCCAGAGUUCCAGAGGCUCAUAAGUCCGAGAGUAAGGCAGCAGCAUCUGAUGCCUGGAUUUCUGGGAUAGGUAUAGUGGAAGCAAUGUAAGUGAGUCUGAGAAAAGUAAGUUAAAAAUUGUUUUAAUCAAUACAUAAUAAUUAUACAUAUUUGUGUGAUACCACAUAGUAAUUAAUUCAGUUCAUGUAUAGAAUAUAUAAUGAAUGAAUCAGAGUGAUUAGAUGUACAUCUGUUUGAACUUUUGUCAUUAUUUUAUGUUGGGAGAUUGUGAAGUUCCUCUUCUAGUCCUCUAUGACAUGUACAGUGAAUUGCUGUAAACUGUAGCCCCCUUCUGUGGCUGUAGAGCACUAGCACUAGCGCUUAUUCCUCUCAAUCUCCGUAUUUUGGUGCCUGUUGCUCACCUUCCCUCUGUCUCCCCUGUCUUGCCCCAUUCCUGACUCUAGUAACCUCUGUUCUGUUCUCUACUUCUGUAAGAGCAACUUAAAUGGUUUUUCUUUCAAAAGAAUUUUUAGUCUUCUGCAUUGUUCACUGCUGCUGCUUCCGUGUCACAGCAGAACAUAGCCUAUGGACUGAGAAUCUCAGAUCAAGCAAUUGGUUCAGAUUUCUAAAGUUCAGAUGUUACUAGUACUAGUCACAGGAAACUGCGUGCUAUAACAAAAAUGCCAAUGAGAAGAAAGUUAUUUUUCAAACAUUUUCUGUUGUCUGAGAGUGUGCAGUCAGGAUGACUUUCUUUCCCACCAGAUGAAGAGGGUUGAGAAGCUUGUUUUGACCAUCUGUCCAAAAUCGAGCAGCUCCUUCACAUCGCAUUUCAUGAAGACAAAGACCAGCAGUGUUUGUUUUAUGACCGAUGUGUAGUGUUGGAUAGCUGUAGUGCUGACUCCUCACAGUCUUUAAAGGCCUGGAUUCUAUCUCUGAUGACAGGAGUACUUAAAAUAGGAGCAGAGUGUCCUGUUUGUAUGGAUUGCAGUUCACCUCAGCCAUUGAAAUAACCACAUAAUGGUGGAAGAUACCACAGAGAGGUUUUAUGAAAAAGUCCAUCUGAGUCUGGAAGAAUUGGUUGGACUUUGAAUACUGGAAAUGGAUAGUAAAAGGCAUUUAAGAUAUAGAGUAGAAAUUAACCAAAGGCUGAAGAUAGUGUAUACCAGGGCUUGUUCAAGUAAAGGCAAACACUCCAGAGAACAUCAAGGUAGGAAGGAAAUCCGGGGGAGUAAUGGCAGUUCUACUGUGAAGGUCACACUGGGAGGGCUUAAGUCUAGAGGAGACAUUCGGACUUCAUUUCAUACAUCAUAGGAAAUGACAUAGCCAUUCAAAGUUUCUCUUAUGAUACAAUGAAAGCAUGGAAUGAAGCAUAGAGCCAGUUUGGACUCUGUCCCGUAAAACCUUUUAAACCUGAUCUGUAUAAUGCCCCUUGCCAUCACUGUGUGCCUAUGACUGGGCCAGCUUGUGAAAACAUGCAUCGCAUUUCCUUGUGGAGUAGGGUGACGGAUGAUUGAGUAGGAUUUGGAGCACAGGUAAUUGGGAGAUACAGCUGCACAGGCUGUUCAGGAAUAUGUGUCUUCUUAUUUAGUUUCUGUGCUCUGUAGGUGAUCCCUUCGAAAGGGAUCUCUUAUCCUUAAGUGACACUACUGCUACACUUUAGUGAUUUAGGAAAUAUCUCUGGUCAGUGGGUGGCGGUAUUGCAUAGUAGAAAUCAUAGGUUGCAUAGGCAGAAACUGUGGGCAAUAUCUGGCAAUGUGACUGCCCUUACUCUCUGGAUUAUCAGAUCACCUUCAUAGUCACCUGAGGUUUCCUUUUAAAUAUAGGUUCUCAUACCCUUGAAUAAUCUGAUUCAGUCGGUCUGUGAUGGGGCCCUGAAAUAGAAGUAUAUGUGUGUGCCCAUGUGUGCAUGUUCACGUGUGCAUAUGUCAACAUUUGAGUUAGCUACAUUUGAGAAUUGGUGACUUAAUCUUUCUGAUUCUCAACUUUCAUAGGACUGCUGGAAACAUUAAAUGAGAAAUACAUGUGAGUUUUAUAAGCUUUGAAUCACAGUAAAACAUUAACUGUUAAUUAGAAUAUUUGUUGAAAUAACUUUUCAUUCCUUUUUAAAAGACUUCAUUAGUUUCUCAUUGAUUUCAAGUUUAAAUGCAAGAGAUCAUACUAUAUGUGUCUGAUUUGUAUGCAUCGUUCUAGAACAAUGUGAGACAAGUGAUGAAUUUUGCCCAGUAGAGCACCUAAAAUAUGUUAAUUGUGUAUUGGUUUUAAAUGUUGAAUAGGUGGCUGAAAGAAGACAAUUGUUUGAUUUUCUUUUUAAAUCUAAGGAAUAAAUGCCAGUUUUAAAAAGUAGGAGACAUAAACAAAACUUGUUUCUAUAUGUUUUUAAUUGAAAACUCACAUUUAUUAUUGAUACUAUCAUAACUUAAUUUACAAGUAUGUUCUGACUUCCUAGUUUAAGAGCAGUACUCUUAGAUACACUGUUGACUUUAUCUUUUCCAAGCCAAAAACAAUAAAAUAGACAAAACAACACCAAAAACCUUUGUGUAAAUAAUAGGGGGUUUGAAACAUGUCUUUUUUCAGAUAAUCAUCAAAAAUAGAUUUCAGCAGCUCGAUACAAUCUUUAUAUAAUAAUACAUGGCAUAAAUGUCAGUUGACCUUGAACCUUAUAGCACAUUGUAAACAGUUUUUAACCUUUAUUCACAGUUUCUGUGCAACUACAGUUUCCAAUUCAGAAGGAUUUUCUAAUGCAGAAGUCCACUUGUAUCUUAUGAUAGUACCACAGCAUCUCCUUUCUUCUGCAGUCUCUCAAUUUUCAUUUUGCUUAUACUUCAACCUUACACCUGGACAACCUCCACAUUAAUCCAUUCGGAAUCAUUUGUUCUUCCCCUGGACCUACUGAGUCACCCAAAAAGGGCAAGUUGUUCAGGGAGCCUCACUGGCAUGUUCCUUCUGUACUUGUUACCAUCUUCUAAUGCCAUUUUGCCAGCAGCCAGUCACUUUAGACUAUUAGCUUGAAGUUCAUUUAGAAGAUUUAAGUAAAUAUCUGAUUUCAGGAACCUGGGAUAGGAGUCCUUUUCCAUAAGAGUAUAUAUGACUUUUUGGGCUUCAUCGAAACAUGUGUGAGUUGGUGCUUUAAUUCUCUUGGCAGUAGAUUCUCGAGUGCGAAAGUCAAUAUUGAUCUGAAAGGAUUCCAAACUAAUUAAUAUGCAAUCCUCAUUUGUUAUAAUUUUUAUUUUGUUGUUUUCUGAAGCAUUUCAAGAAAAUCACUUUACAUGCUCAUUUAAAACCAUUCACGUUUCUCUGGAAUGCCUUUGCUAGAUACUCCAGGUUUGCUCAUACUCUAGUUGGGAGAUACGAAAGAGGCUGACACUGAACUGUAUAGAUGCACAGAAGGAGGUGCAGGUAUCAGAGAAAGAGUAAUGUGGACCUUUAACAUUAGUAAGAGGACAGGACUCUUUAUGUGGGUAUUUUCUGCUUGGACAAAGCGUAUUUAACUGGAAGGUGGGCACUGCUCCCAACUGGGAAUAUUUUUGCUGCUGCAACUUUAUGUAUUAUAGGAAUCUAUGUUUUAUCCUUAUCUAAGAGCAGGAAGAUCAGCCCUCGAGCAUAUAGACCUGGCCUGGAAUGCCAUGUCCCAUCUCCCUGUCACAGUAGGUAAUUUUACAAAAUCAGUCUUUUCAUUCUUUAUACUGAGUCACAAAUAUAGAGAAUUAUGUUAUCAUUGCACUGAAUUAUAUGAAUCUACUUAAACAUAUGGAAGUAAAGUGAUAUUCGAAUAGAAUAUCCUGUGCUGUGCUUGUUGAGAGCUGUUUCUGUGUCUAUGUUCUUAUGCACACACACACACACACACACAGAUAGUCAUGAACUCAAUACUCACUUGCUUAGCAGCAUCUGAAUGCACAAAGGCUUUAUAUAUCUUCUCUGCCUUGCAGUGCAAAUGGUCAGAUUCUGUUUUCUUGUAGUCUUCACAAGCCAGCCAGAACUCAAUGUUCUCCUCACUGAACUCAGACUUUAGGAAAUUUCCAAAAACAUCUUGACCAGCUAAAACAAAAGGAGGAAAUUGAGAAAUUAAAUUAAUUGAAGAAAUUUAUGAGAAGAGUACUGGCCCAAUCUCUGUGUACAAAAGGAAGAGAUGGCUGGAUUAGCUAUAUCACAGUUUAUCAAAAGGAAGUUCUUGGAGAAUCCUUCAUUGAUGCAAGAGGAAUCUGGGGCCAGACAAACUUUCCCUGAGUCACAGAGCUGCUCCUUGUGGCUGCGGAACUAUGCUUUGCUUCUGUUUGCUGUUUAAAUUGAAAUUCUGCUCUGCUAAUUAUAAAACAAUCUCUUUUUAAAAUAUACAAAGUCUUAGCCAGAGUAUUCAGUAUUUUAAAGUAUUUUAGGGAAGCAGACAUUGAAAGGGCAUUAAUAUCAUGUUAAUAAUUAACAAACCUAAUUUUCCAAUCGAUUCAUUUUAAUUAAAAAAUGUGAGGUCAGUAUAUUACUUGUGUGCCUUAUGUCCUGAAUUUAUUUGCUGGUAUUACUGAGACUUUUCUAUGUGCCUUUGCUGUGUCAUUUCUUUGUUUGGCUGAGUUUUAGACUAAGUCAGAAAACAAAAUGGGUGAAGUAGGUUGAAUUACUUAAUUCUCAUGCAAGACUCCUGAGAGUGAUUCUGGGGAAAAGAGGAUAAAUCUCUGGAUAGAACCAAGCUUAUCUACACCUCUAGCUCUGAUAGAAAAACAAUGUCCCUUACAAGGGGAGGCCAAGCUCAUUUCAUUCUUUACUGUCUCUCCUCAAAAAAUUCCCACCGGAUUCUUUGUAUUUAAUAGCCUUCUAUCACAGCCCUUGUUUGGUUUGUUGCGGAAAGAUUAUCUUAGUUUUUUUUUUAAUUAUUCCAUUCUUUUUUUUCCUUUCUUUCUGUUUAUAUUUCUUUCUGAGACCAAACAAGAGAGGGAGGAGGAAAUAGGGGGGAGGGGGAGUAGGUGAGAGGGCGGGUGUGGUAGGAAGAAUUACCAUGUUCUUAAUGUUGUAUUUAUGAGAUACAUACAAGUAAAAAAAAAAGCCUUCAUCAAAUCCUGGUUAUUAAAUUUAUCACGUUAUGGUUAAUGUACUCAUUUACUUUGUAUGCCUCAAAUACCUUCUGUUUAGUAAGGACUGUGUUUUUGUUUUUGAAUUCGUGGUGUAUUUUUAGUACCUGACAGAUAAAGGUGGGAUGAAUGAGUGAAUUAGUGACUAUCUCAUAAAAUAAAUAAUUGAAUAAAUUAAUCAUGAGCUUUAAUCCAGCUGUACAGUAUCCAUUCUUCAGAUGGCUUUCAAAAUGGAAAUUUGUAUGUUGAGAUAUUUGGUUUAUUUUUAAACUUUCAACUUCAGAGCCAUAGCACAAAUUUUAAUUUUGUUCCUGAACUAAUCAAGGGGAAUAUCUAUUAGCCCUGGAAGAAGCUGGUGGCAGAAUUUAGUGUUAGCCAACAAUAUAUUACACAGAGGCAUCUGUGCUGAACUUAUCAGUGAACACAGAAAAAUCAAAAUACAACUUUUGGUAGUUAAUCUGUACUUACCUUGGGUGGCAAGAAGUUUUUCCAGGGAUUGAGACCACUGCAUUACUUCAUCAGCAGAGAGUCUGCAAGUGGACAAAAUAUACGUAAAGUAAUAAAAUACCUUUUUUUUUGCAAGCACAAAUGAAGUCAGGGUGGCUGUUACAUUUUAAUUACUUUUACAAACUAAGACUUACUCUAGUUAUAAUAAAUCUUACUAAAAUUUUCUAGGAAAGACAAAAUUUUCCCUAGCAUUAUCAUAUUUGUGAAAAUAUCUGCCAAUAAAGUUUGAAAAAUCCAAAUAGAUAAAAUCUGAUAGUGCAAAAAUAAAUAGCAAAUAUAUGCACAUAUGUUUGUAUUUAGUUUACCUUGGUACUCAUGUAGUCUAAUCUUAUUUGAUAUAUUACUUGAAAGAAACAAAUUCCACUACGUGCAGUAUUAAUUUCUCACUAGGAUAUAGAGCUGUUACAGAGGUUGCUCUUGUAAGUGAUAACGACAGUUCAGUGUAUUCAAGUACGUACAUGUCCUUGCACUUGGAAGAUUUUAUCCCAGACUCCAGAUGUGGGAUCACAGAUCUCAGGUAUGCUUUCAUGUCCAUUCCACUGCAAAAGACACAGAAGUUAAUAUUCAUAUUUGUUCAGUAGAAUUCAUUUCAGUUGUAAAAUUUAAAGAGCAUGGGAUAAACUGAUCUAAGAACAUAAGACAAUAAUAAAAAUAGUUGAUGAAACAUUUUGUUAUAUUAAGAUAGAGCCCAUUUUUAUUACUUAAUGUCUGGAAAAGUCCCCACCUAAUUUAGUACCACAACAUGAUUUUUAAUACAGUAGAAUCUAAUAAGUCACAACAGGUAAUUGCUCUGAUUUGGCUAAACUAAAUGCCCCAAUUCUUUGUUCAUUCACAAUCCGUUUGUCAUUGAAGGCAGUGUAAGUGAGACACCGAAUGAACUUACAAAGUCUUAGGCCUCUUUUUUUGUGUUUUGUCGUCUAGAAGUGAGUGACCAGUUUCUUUCAGUUCCUUUGAGUGGGCAGAGUGAGCAGAGAAGAACAUUCCUGGCAUCCUGUCCAGCCUUGGCGUGGAGAUGGCUGCUGCUUGCAUGGUCCUCUCGGCGAGUGUCUGUUAGUUAAUGUGUCUGCUGCUUUAUAUAGGGAAGGCAGGCAGUGUCUGCUUUUCAAAGCAGCCUGUUUAUCAAGUGAUGUUACCGCAGACGCUGGAAGUUCCUCCUUUCUUGGUGUUUCGUGACGUAUGUCUUAAAGAAAAAAGCAUACAGUGAUGUCUUGUGGUUGAAACUUAACCAAAUGAGAGCAGGUCACUUGAUUAGAAAGAAAGAGAAAAAAUAUUUAACCUGUAGAAGCACUCUCACGUAUGUCACGUGUCUAAAGCAUUGGCAGAUCAGUCUGGUUCUAGGAGAUGCUUGUUUAUUCCUUAAAAAUGCAUAUUCCAAUAAAAUCUUUCAUUUGUUGUACUUAUUGUGUCACAUAGAAAUCAAUAUUAGAGUUGUUACCUCUUCCCCCAUUCUCAUGCUUUAGAUAGUUAUUUUUUAAGAUUAAUUUUAUUUAUUUGAAAGGCAGAGUGAUAGAAAAAGAGGGAUACAACACACACACACACACAGAUCCUCCAUCUUGUGGUUUACACCCCAAAUGGCAGCAAUGGCUGGCAUUGAUCCAGGCCAAAGUCAGGGGCCCAGACAGGACUCUUUCUGGGUCUCCCAUAUGGGUAUCAUGGCCCCAGGACAUUGGUCCAUCUUCCACUGCUUUCCCAGAUGUAUUAGCAGAGAGCUAGAUAGGAAGUGGAGCAGCCACGACAAACCAGUGCCCACGUGUGAUGCCAGUGCCAGAGGUGGCAGCUUAACCCCUGGUCCUAGCUCUUGAUUGUCAAAUUCUCUUGAUCACAUUAUUUGUAAAAGUUUGUUCUUUUUCUUUUACAGGAAGCAAUGUUUAAAAAAAUCUGAUUUUUUUAAUAUAUCUAGCAGGAAGGAAUGUUAUUAGUUGUUAAUGUCACUUUUUCCCACUUCAACACUCAUCCUUUAGAUCCAAGGCAGGGAAUUCUCAUGUGAGUACUUGUCAAGGUGUGUGACACAUAAGAUGAUUUUAUGGCAUACGUAACUUUUAAUAUUAGUCUAAUAUUUAUUAGUACUAUAACUAUCAUACCACAUUGAUUUUUUACAUAAUAAUUCCUAGGAAAAGAACAAAAUAUAUGAAAACCUAUAAAUAAAUAAGAGAAUGUUUGCCAUAAAAAUAUGAUAUAAUAUGUAAUAUACUGAUCCUAAACAAUCACACAAUAUCACAGGGAAAACAGGUCAGGGUAAAGUAAGAAUAUAUUUGGAUAGACCCAUAAUAUGUAUUUAGAUGAUCUUCUAAAUCUUGGCAGUAUCUCCAGAGAAAUAUAGUCUCUCAUUAAUUGAGAUUGAAAUUUAGAAAAAAAAAAAAAACCGAGGAACUAAAUGACUGACUAAUCACCUCUCAGUGUAGAAGGGUAAGUACAAUAUAAGCUCUUAAAGUGUUUGUGUAGAAUGUGGCUUAUUCAAAGAGUAUUCAUUUACAUUUCCUUUGGAUUUUGUCACUAAAGGACAGCAGUUUAUAUUAGAUAAAGCUUGUAAAUGGGAGGAGACUAUUUUUCUGUCCUGGUUCUGUCAUUAGGAUAAAGAAUAUUUGGGGGGCCAGUGUUAUGGCAUUGCAGGUACAGCUGCCACCCGUGAUGCUGGCAUUCUAUGUGGGCAUUGGAUCAUGUCCCAGCUGCUUCACUUCCAAUCCAGCUCCCUGCGAAUUGCCUGGGAAAAAGAGGUGGAAGAUGGCCCAAGUGUUUGGGCCCUUGCCACCCAUGUGAGAAACCUAAAUGAAGCUCCUGGCUCCUGCCUUUGGCCUGGCACCCCUGGCCUUUGUGGCCAUCUGGCAAGUGAACCAGCAGAUGGAAGAUCUCUGUCUGUUCCUCUCUUUUUCACUUUGACUUUCAAAUAAAUGAAUAAAUAUUUUUGAAAAAGAAUAUAUGAAGAAAACAUUCAUAAUCUUAUAAAGUUCACUUAUACAUAGUCACGAGCAUAUUUUAUAUUGUAUGCAACAGACAUCAUUUGAUGUUAGAAAGAUAACAUGAUUCAGUAGGAAAGAGCACUAGUGAGAUAAACUGACUUCUUUUGAAGUGACCCAGACAAAACUGAUAAGGCGCCAAGACUGAUGACGGAAAGGCAUUUGUUUGUAUACUUCCUGUGAUUCAGUCCAUACUUAUUUUUCUGUUAAAAUCAUCAUCACUCAUGCUGUUUGUUUCCUAGCCUUUUUUUUUUUAAUUUUGUUAUUGUUACUUGAGGUAGAGUUAUAGACAGAAAGGGAGAGAAAUUCUUGCAUUUACUGGUUCACUCUCUAAAUAGCCACAGCUGGGCCAAUGGGAAGACAGGAGCCAGGAACUUCUUCCAGCUCUCCCAUGUGGGUGCAGGAGCCUACCUUCCACUGCUUCCCAUAGCAGAGAGCUGGACUGGAAGAGGAGCAGCCAGGACUAGAACCAGUGCCCAUUUGGGAUGCCAACUCCUCAGGUGGAGGUUUAUCCCACUAAGCCACACCGCCAGCCCCCCUAUACUAACCUUUUAAUCUGCUAGAAAAUUGUAAGUUAUGUUAGAGGAAAAUGAUUUUUAAAAUGGCCCAAUGUUUUUUUCUUGGUGUUUAUAGUACAUUUUAUUUUUGUUUGAUUGCAUAACUAGAAUGUGGCAAACAUUGCCAAAUAAUAAACAUAAUAUUUUCCUGACUUUAAUGAGACUAUCUUUAAUAUAAAUAUUUUUAUAUAUAAUGCAGACUAUUGACCUCUGACACCCAUUAUCAUGUCUGGUAGUUUUUCCUAUGUUUCUCCUAUUUGUUAUUUCAUUAUUUCUUUUUAUUCUUAUAAUGUAUUAAUUUCAGAUAUAAAAUAUUAUUUUAAAUAAAAAUGGCCCAAUAUUAUUGUCAUCUAAAUAUAUCGACAAUUUCCCAAGCAUUAUUCUGCACUAGUAGUUCCUUUGGAUGUUAAUAAGCAUCCCAGAACAGCAGCAGCAAAACUUCUGGGGCCAAAUGAAUUUGAGAAAUAGUGAAUUUCUAAUUUUUCAAAGAACUGAACCCUCUUUAGAUAGUAAAAGUAAUCUGUAGAAAUAAUGUUCUUUCUUUCUUUCUUUUUUUUUUUUUUUUUUUUUUUUUGACAGGCAGAGUGGACAGUGAGAGAGAGAGACAGAGAGAAAGGUCUUCCUUUGCCGUUGGUUCACCCUCCAAUGGCCACCACGGCCGGCACACUGCGGCCGGCGAACCGCGCUGAUCCGAUGGCAGGAGCCAGGUACUUAUCCUGGUCUCCCAUGGGGUGUAGGGCCCAAGCACUUGGGCCAUCCUCCAAUGCACUCCCUGGCCACAGCAGAGAGCUGGCCUGGAAGAGGGGCAACCGGGACAGAAUCUGGCACCCCGACUGGGACUAGAACCCAGUGUGCCGGUGCUGCAAGGCGGAGGAUUAGCCUAGUGAGCCACGGCGCUGGCCGAGAAAUAAUGUUCUUUUGAUACUGUUAGGAAAUUGUAGUCCAAGACCAAAAUAAAUAUUUACCCCUUAAUACAUAAGGGGUAAAUUGUAAAUUGUAAAGUAAUUGCUUUAAACCUCCCAACAUUUAUUUACUCUAAUAUAGACUGUCAAGUUCAAGCAUUGCAAGUAGUUACAGUUGCUUGCUUUCAGACUCAGACUCAAUCCUGCAUCAUGAUUGAAUGUAGAAGUCAUCCUGGUGACGCCAUAAUGUGUAUACUCUCUCAGCUGCUGCUUGCUAGCCGCUCAAAUCCUUUUGUGCCACAGCAAGGCAGUUGUGGUCCAGUUGUAUCAACAAGGGCUUACAAGUCCAUGGCAGGGCACUGAGAGUUCCCUAAAGAUCUCUCACUGUGGUAGUCCGACCACUCUUGUUAAAUUCAUUAAGGAAAGACAUCAAAUAGUAACUUUUUUGGAAACAAUGACUUUGAUUGGAAUUGCAAGGAUUUCAGAACAGCCUUACAGGUUUAGAUGCCAUUUAGGACACCUGCAUACCAUUUCAGAGAUCCAGGGCUGCACCCCCAAUUCUAGCUUACUGCUAAUGCGCAUCCUGGGAGGAGUAAUGAACUCAAACAGUUGUCCCUGCCACCAACAUAGGAAAACUAUAUUGAGUUCCUGGCUUAUUAUCCCCCCAUCACCCUACUCCAACCUCUACCACUGUCAUCACCCCUCCACAAUGUUAUAUAUAUAUAUAUUUUUAAAAAAAUUAUUUAUUUAUUUGAAAGUCAGUUACACAGAGAGAAGAGAGGCAGAGAGACAGAGAGAGACAGAGAGUGAGGUCAUCCAUCCAAUGGUUCAUUCCCCAGAUGGCCGCAACAGCCGGAGCUGCGCCGAAACCUCCUCCAGGUCUCCCACAUGGAUGCAGGGGCCCAAGGACUUGAACCAUCUUCUACGGCUUUCCCAGGCCAUAGCAGAGAGCUGGAUUGGAAGUGAAGCAGCCGGGACUCAAACCGGCGCCCAUAUGGGAUGCCAGCACUUUAGGCCAGGGCUUUAACCCACUGCGCUACAGCGCCCGCUCCAAUGUAAUAUAUUUAUUAUAAUCAAAAUUAUUAUGAUAUAUCAUUAUCACCAAAGUCCAUUAGAGUUCACGUUUGGUGCCGUGCAUCUGUGCAUUGUUUAAAUGACAUGUGCAUACUAUUUUAGUGACAUACAGAAUAGUUUCCUCUGUAAGAAAAAUCCUAAGUGUUGUAUUUUAAAAUAUCAAGAAGACUGGCUCAGUAAAACAUUUCAGAUUAUGGUUAUUAAUUUCAAUGGUGAAAAUGAGGAACAUUUUAAUUUUUGUUUGAUUGAUUUUCCAUUUUGAAUCUAAUAAUUCCUACUAGCUGAGAAGUAGUAAGGAAUGUUUUGCUGAAUGAUUUUUAACCUUGAUAUCUAUUAAACUGAUGUUGAGCCUCAAUAAUAAUGCUUAAAUUUUGUGGUGGAUGUUAGGAAUUAGGGGAUGAAGGACAUUGGUGAGUAUGAGAUUAUAUUUUAAAAAUAAAAAUAGGGGCCAGGACUCUGGUUCAGGGGGUUAAAGCCCUGGCUGGCAGUGCCAGCAUCCCAUAUGGGUGCUAGUUCAAGUCCUGGCUACUUCACUUCCAGUUCAGCUCCCUGAUUAUGCACCUGGGAAAGCAGUGGAGGAUGGCCCAAAUUCUUGGGCCCUUAUCCCCACAUUGGAGAGAGACCCAGAAGAAGCUCCUGGCUCCUGACUUUGGAUCGGCUCAGCUCGGGCCAUUGAAGCCAUAUGGGGUGUGAACCAGGGGAUGACAGACCUCUCUACCUUUCUAUGUAACUUUCAAAUAAAUACAUAAUAAACAAAAGAAAGAAACGGAACUCCUUUAAAAAAUUUAUCUGUAGUGGAAGAGUCAGUGACAUAAAUAGAAAUUUUGAACAUUUGAAGUAGAGUAUCUUUUUUUUAAGAUUUAUUUUAUUUAUUUAUUUAUUUGAAAGAGUUAGAGAGAGGAGAGGCAGAGAGAGAGAGAGAGGUCUUUCAACUGAUGGUUCACUCCCUAAAUGCCUGCAAUGGCUGGAGCUGUGCCAAUCGGAAGCCAGAAACCCGGAGCCUCCUCCAGGUCUCCCACGCGGAUGCAGGGCUCAAGGACUUGGGCCAUCUUGUACUGCUUUCCCAGGCCAUAGCAGAGAGCUGGAUCGGAAGUGGAGCAGCUGGGACACGAACCAGCACCCAUAUGAGAUGCUGGCGCUUCAGGCCAGGGCAUUAACCUGCUGCGCCACAGCACCGGGCCCGAAGCAGAAUAUCUUAAUUCGACAAACUUUCAUUGCAUUUCUGCAACGUGGUAGAUGUAAGGUACUGCAAAUAUAAUGCUAAGUGAAUCCGUAUCCUUAGGGGUCCAACGUGUAGUAGGCCAGGCAGAUGUUUAAACAAGUAAUCAAAGUGAGUAGUGCCAUUAGAGUCCAUGUGCUGAGGACGGAACACAGAAGGAAUAGUUAAUUCUGAAAAACCAGGAAAGAAAGCAAAGCACUAUUACGUUUGUUACAGAAUCAAUAGGGGAUUUUUGUUUGUUUUUUGCCUUGUCUUGUAGUAUUUGUAUUCAGUAACCUGUGGAAAGUACAAAAGGACACAGCUGAGAGAUAAAUGGCAUUCCAUAAGCAGAAACAUCUUUGUGUUUAAGGAUCAUGGAAGAAUGAAUCCUGUAUGUAAACAUACAGCUUUACAAACCUUAAAAUGAACUCUAAAAGACAGUUUUGUGAGCCUUACCCCUCAGUUGUCAGGGAAUGAAUGCCGGAUAGCUCAUCUGUGACUCCUCAUUAAGUUGACUCACUACCUGGGCCUUUUUUGGCUCCUGUGGCCUUUGGAGUCUUCAAUGCUUAUUAGUAGGGUUACCAAAAAUGUUUUAGCUAACUUUAAUAGAGUUUAUUUGAAAAAGCUUCGACAAAAGUGAGUUUGAAGAAUCUUUAUGUUUGUAUGGAGUGUUGAUGGGGACAUUGAUGCCUACUUUCUGUCUUUUGCGACUGAAAAGAUUAAACUUUUAAAGUUGCUUCUGGUUUUGUUUUCUAAACAAAGAAAUGUGCUGACAGAAUUUUAAUAAGAGCAAAUAUCUACCAGCUCUGAAGUUCAGUGAUCUCAGUAAAUGCAACUGAGCAAGAUAAGCAUCUGGUUUCUUUUCUCACCCUGAUCUAAUCAACUUAAAGUAAACAUUGAGUAUCUAUUUUCUGUAAUUUGAGAGCUUAUAAGAAAAUUGAAUUUAGGACCAUUAGUGAACUGGGCUCAUGAGAUUCUAUAAGGCCUAUUUUCCAAGUUAUUUUUGAAUAUACUAAAAGAAUCCUUGAUUGAUAUUUUUCCUGUAGUUAAUUUUGCACUGCAUUGAUUCAUUUUUAUUUAUUAUAACCUUCUCAUUUAUAAUCAUUUGAACAAGAGAAUGCAGUCACAACUUACUCUGUUAAAUGUUCAGCAAGUGCCUUAUUCCCAAGUCCAACUAAGUAGAGUGUGUAAGGACGGUGUAUAUGCUGUAAGAACAGUGCAGAAUUACCUGGAACUGGGGUGGGAUGCUCAGUACAUACAUGUAGCAUGGAUGUGAAAGUGAAAGUUCUGAAAGGUUGGUACACAGAGGGAAUUUGCUAGGUAGAUAAGUUAUAAAUCUUAGGGACUCAGUUCAAUGAAUGGAUUAUAAUGUCAAGUUUCCAAAAACUAUUUCAAUGAUUUACCUUUUGUCUUACUAAACAUUAAAGUAGUUAAAAACAGUGACUUAUUUGCUUCAUUUUUUUCAUGUUAAUUAUGUGAUUUUCUUUGAAAAAAGUCAAGGCUGCCUGAUGUACUCUGUUCUUACAAAAGUCAAACUACUUAUUGCUCAUUAAUACAAGAAUGGUAUUUUUUUCAAUUUUUGUAUCUGUUUAUGUAUGUAUGUAUUAUUUUUUCUGAAUAUUAAUGUCAAACCCACUGGAUGUUUAUAAACAGUGGCCACCCUUAGCAUGAUUUUUACUGUUACUAUGGGUACUUAUGGUCUGUGGUAUUCCAGAAUUUCCUGUGCCUGAUCUAAAUUUUUAUUUUUAAUUCUAUUUUUUAAUUUUUUUCCCAAAGAAACCUUUUAUUUAAGGAGUAUAAAUAUCAUAAGUACAGCUUUAAGUAUAGUGAUUCUCCCCACCAUACCCGCCCUCCUACCCCACUCCCACCCCCAGAUAGACUCUUUGGCUGCUGGUGUCCCGAGUCGUGUGCAUCUGUGCCCUCCACGUAGGCCCACUGUGUCGCUUAAUUUCCAUAGUUUUCUCCCUGACUCUUCCCUGACACUGUACUCUUUCCACUUUUUAAACUAUCUUCUCAUAGACUAGAGCAGUAAGCUCCCUUCCUGCUCCACCAUCAUAAUCCAAUUCCUGUCCUUUUCAACUGAUUGAUUUAUUCCCUUUCUUUAAUUAAAAAAAUGAAUAAAGAACUUUUGGCUUAUUGAAUUUUAGUGAAAUGUUAAGCUUUCUGCAUUUCACAGGACUAUGAGCUCAAUCCAAGUUAUAACUUUGCCUGGUGUGUGUGAGUUUGAUCAAAUUAGCUAACUUGUCAUUUUCCUCUGUUGUGAAGAGGGUAGAUAAUGCAGAAAACCAGGGCAGUGUAUUUGGUGGGAACUCAUAGUUAGAACAACUCAUAAUCUUGUUUUAUCUUUUGUCUCAGAAGACAAAAACUUAUAAACUGCUAUAAAAUGUAAUUUUAAUUGUGAAAAUCAGGUAACUUUGAGAAAAUUUUGUCUUCUCUUUGUUGUCAUUGUAAGGUUUUAAGCUCUCACAUCAUCCCUAUUUGGUGUCUUAUUUGUGACUUUGGCCCUUUCUCCAUAGUUGAUUCUGUUUUGACAUUGCCCUUAGUUGAGACAGUAAAAUCUUAGCAUAUCAAAAACAUUGCAUGGAAAAAGUAAAAGAAGCCUGGUUUGUGUGGGUGUUUGUUCCAUUUCUAGCAUGGAGUUUCUUUUUUCACAUGUUUGCCUCCCCAUGUGAUAGAGACUGAGUGUUGCUUGUCCCAGAUUGCAGUGUGAGGUUGGGUAUGUGCAAGGAGGCAGGGAAGCCAGGAAGGAGUGGGAUUAGUAUUGGAAAUGUUAAAGUGACACUAACAAAAUCCAUGAAGGUCUCUGAAACAGAUAUAUUUAUCUCCUGAGUUCACUGUUAGUUAUGAGACAGCAAUCAUUCAUUCCCAAGGAAACUGCAGUGAUAGGAUGGUUUUGAUGUCAUUAAUUGUGUGGUCCUGCUCACUCCUGGAAAUGAUAUCCCUUGACGAAUGUAAGUGGUAGAUGACCACAUUGCAUAGUCUACCCUCUAUAAAAUGUCUUUAUGUUUUAAGUAUCUUAAGAUGAAUCAUUAUUUACUAUUCAUAGAAAAAUAAAAGCUGCUGAGACCAAGAUUAUCAGUAUAUUAGGAUUUUUCCCCAUUAUACAGAAUUCCCCUCCUAUUUGGAUCUGUUUCAAAGAUAAUAGAGUAAUAUCAUACAGGAUGUAUGAUUUCACCAUUUAACUUCUAUUUUAUGAGAAAAGUUGUAUUUUGUACAAAAUAUUAUUUGAACUAACCAUUAAAUAGAUUUGAAAUGUUGAGACUUUUUUUCUGGUAGAAAGCAUUCCUAGCUUUGAAAUCAAACACCUGUUAUGCUAGAAACAACUAUAAGAUGAUACUGACACAGAUGUUUAUGAUCCCAUAGAAAGGUGAAAAAUUCUAUGAUUAUAUCAAGUAAAGUCUAUGACUAUGUUAGCUAUUGCUGAGUAGCAAUAAUUGAUAUCAAUGAUUAAAACUGCAUCCACAUUUAUGGAGAAAUGUUGUUAUUAUCUGGCUAUAUUUCUUCUUUCCAAUAAGCAUUGUUUGUUCUUUUCCAACUGUUCAACUUGAUAAAACUCUUGCAUUUUUAUAUGUGAACUAUCUUCCCUUCCUCCUUCCUUCUCUCAUUUUAUACAUCCCUAACUUCUUUGGCUUCUGAGUGUGUAGAUAGAAUAUGAAUAACUGCUUUCACUGUGAAACCUUUGUCUUUGGUAACAGCCCUCCUUUGUGAAAUUAGGAGGAAAAAUAGAGCACCUCAAUGGAUUGUUGAAAGCUUAGAACAUGGGACUGUGUCUCCCAUGUUCCAAUAGAAUCUGUAGUCUUUCAGUCAAGCUCUACAAGCAAAGAAAACUUCUCUGAAAUAAAUUUUUUGCAUGAUUUUAACGGAUAAGCAUGACAUUUGUUGAAACAUAGUCAAAAUAAACUGAAACUUAAAUUCAUUUCUUUAUGGUAAGGAAUAGAGUUUAGUAAGGAAAAAAAUUAGAGUAAUUUUUCUAAAAUUAAAUACGUUUUGAUCAGUGAAUACAUAUGGAUGUUAAUUCAACAUUCCAAACAAGUCUUCUCCAAACUAGUUCCAGUGCUAAUGUCAUUCUCUCUUUAAGGGUUACUCAUGAAAAAUACUUACUUUAAAACAUGUUUUUGGAUGCUGUCCCCAUUUAACCUAAAGAAAACCCCAAAACUGUUAUAUGUGCCUGUGAGGCCUGACUUCAUUUGAUUCCUUUAUGACUUCUUGACCUCAGCACCUUUCACCCUUCCCUUCUCUCACUUCCUUCAGCUACACUGAUCCCAACUACUUUUCAACCUAUCAGAGCAAUUCUUGCCAUGGGGUUUGUGCACUGCUUGUUCCUUCUGCCUAGAAAAUCUCCUAAUGAGUAGUUGCUUAGUUCCUUCACAUCCUUCAAGUUGUUGGUCAAACGUCGUUUCAAUGAGGCCUCCUAUAGCGAUGGUCAUUGAAAUUGGAAUUGGCCACCUCUCCCCAUCCUGGCUCUCAGUCAUCUUUAUCUGCUUUUCCUUUCAUGGCACUAAAUAGAUUCUAAGAUGCUAAUUAAUCUGAUGUUUCAGGUUUAUUUUGAUUUUGCCUCUCCCAACUAGAAUGGAAAAUCAUGAGACAUGCUCUUGUUUUUCUCAAAUAUUCAGAGUAGUACCCAGUAUACAUGAGCUAUUAAAGUCUUAUUCAGUGAAUGGGUUAACGGCUGAGACUUACACUAAUUUGUUCAACUAUUGGGCAGCUAUUUAUUACAUGCUUAUUUAUGCUAGUCACUCUUCUGAGCAUCAGGGAAUCCAGGAGGUGAGUGCUAUUCUAUAGAGAGACAAAUAAAUGGGAACUCUCAAGACCUGUAUUAAAUUUACCAAGUAGAGAAUAAUGUAUUCUGAGAAAGUAAAAUGUGGCAACUAACCCCAAGUAGACAUGGUCAUGAGAGUUGUUGGUUCAUUAUAUUCAUUCAACAAAUGUUACUUAAUUACUCUGUGCCAUUACACUUCCAGGCACUUUGAAGGAGGGCAGAUCCUGCCAGUAUACCUUUAUCUCUUUGCCUUUCCCCCUUUUCCACCUGUCUGAGCAACUAUGAGAUUUCAAAGGAUGGAAAUUCAGACAGCAAGAAUGACUUAGCAGAAAUACAAAAGAAUCUCAGUUCCUGAUGACCUCAGGAAACCACAGUUCCAUCUUUGUUGACAGACCUCCAGUUGUCUUAUAUAUGAGCAGAUUAAAUAACCAGUUCUUUCAGCAUGUUGUGGUAUGCUUUUUUUUCAUUAUUUCGAAAUACAAAUUGGGAGUGGGCAUUUACUAGUAGUUAACAUGCCCAAGUCUCAUAAUACAACACGUUGGUUCCAUUCCUUUCUCCAACUCUUGACUCCGGCUUUCUGCCUGGGAGGUAGCCGUAAUGGCUGAAGUGGUAAGAGACCUGGAUUGAGUACCCAGCUCUCAGCUUUAGCCUGACCCAGCCCCAGAUGCUGCAGGCAUUUGGGGAGUGAACCAGUGGGUUGGAGUAUACUCUCUUUUUCUCUGUCUCUCAAAUAGGUUUUUAAAAAAUGUAAAUAUGUAUUAUGGAAUAUUUUUGUUAUAGUUGUGUCUGUAUUCAUCCUGAUUAAUUUGAAGGUUUGUUCAACUAUUUGGCAACUGUUUAGUACAUAUUUAUUGUAUACUAGUCACUCUUAUGGUAUUAGGGAUUCCAGGGAUAAGUGUUACUCUGGAGAGAGAAAAAUAAAUGGGAAAUUUCAAAACAUUUAUUAAAGUUGAGUACAGGGUGUUCUCAGAAGACAAAAGUUGGCAACUAAUACCAAAUAGGCAGGGGCAUGAGGGUUUUUAUGUUUGUUCUAUUGGUAAUCUUUAUAAUUUCUUUAAAUGGUAUACAUUACUGACAAUUCAUUAUAAUGCAACCAGUAUAUCCUACUUCCCUAUGUCUCUCUGGUCCUUCUGUAACACAUUUUUGGUAUCUAUUUUCCCACUCAUUUCGUAACACUUUAAAACUCUUUCACCUGUAUGGAUAUCAUUUGAUGCUCAGCAUAGAAAGGGAAGGAAAUCAGCAUCUAUUCAAUUACCUCCACCACCCACCUUUUGUUAGUUGGAAUAUCAGUCCUAGGUGAUUGAAACAGGAUGGAUUAGAGUAAGAAUUUGAGUUCCAGUCUCUGUGCAAGGAGUUUGUAUUCUUGAUAGAUGUGAGGCAGUAAAGUCCUCCCAGGUUUCUUUUUCUGAUAGGUUUACUUAGCAGUCGUGCAUGGCAGGUGUCUUUCUAGAAAGCCAUCAAGGUGCAAACUGAUGGGAAUCUCACGCAGCUUUUCAGGGUGCAGCAAGGGCACAAAACAGAUGUCGAAAGUCGAGAACUUGCUGUGUGUUUGGUCUCUUCUAGAUUCUAAUCCAUCCUGUCAGCUCCUGUGGCUUGCCAAAGGUUCUGCUGCUAUGCCCCUCUGUUUCUGUAUAGCAUUUCUCUGCCUAGUCUAAAACUCCAUGCCCAUGCUUGAGAGUUGCAUUUCCAGGGAAGAAAAUGGCCAGUGAUCUCAGCCUACCUACGAAGGUCUCUUCCCUUUCUGAUUUUACUUAAUUUAUUUCUCUGCUACUACAGCUCUCUGAUUUCUUUAAAAAUAUGAUACUUUUAGAAAUUUCUUGUUUUUUCUUCUAAGUUGUAGCAUCGGAAGCAGUGUCCUACCACUGCCCACUACCUUCUAUCCAGACACAGUCUUCUGAACUCUUAUGGAUUUAGGGAGAUUUGGAGUACAUUUUGGGAUUCCAAACUGAGUUUUCUCUGGAGUCUCUGGAACAAGGAUAUGCAGGCACUACUAUUUUAUGGCACUGACUGGCAGCAGUACCUUUCCUACCAGAGUGUUAUUUGAAAGAAGCAUUGUUACUCAACCUUACCAAGGAGGCAGGUCCCAAUGCCAGCACACUUGGUAAAGUGAUAAAUAUAAAUACACAACUGAUCAAAAAGAUAGGGUAAGUGUCAAAGAGAUUACACAAAUAAGACCAGUGUAAGCAAAUAAUGAAGGAUAGAAUCAAAAGGGAGAGAAUGAUCCUGCAGGGGAAGCAGGACACACAAAAAACUCAUAGAAUGGCAAACGCCCAAAACAGCACUCCUGCCUCAGAUUCAACCCUUGGGACAUUCGGAUCUGACUAAAAGGUCCAUGAGAGUCUCACAGGCAUGGAAAGCCAUGACACGGUGCAAAAAACAAUCUAAAUGAAAGAUCCUGGUGAACAAGACCCCAGCAGAAGGAUCAGGCCAUCAAAGAGAGAGGCGCCUUUCUCUGAAGGGAGGAAGGAAUCUCCACUGUGAUAAGGCUUUGACUAAACAAAUUCAGAGUCGGUGAACUCAAGGGGCUUCCAUAGCCUAGACAGCUCAUAGCAAGAGUCUCGGGUGAUUGCUGACGUCAUAAAUAAGAGUGCCAGUUGUUAAAUCAACAACGGGAGUCACUGGGUUCAUGCUCCCCAUGCAGGAUCUCUGUCCUUAAUGUGUUUAACUAUGAAACUCAAAAACAACACUACUAGUCGAACAAUACCCUAUACCUGGUUCGGUUGUGUGAGUGCAGCCUGUUGAAAUCCCUGCUUAGUAUAUACUAAGUUGAUCUUCAGUAUAUGAAGGUAAUUGAAAAUGAAACGUGAUGAAGGGCAGGAUGAGAGAGGGAGUGGGAGAGGGGAGGGCCACGGGAGGGAGGGAGGUUGGGGGGGGAGCCACAACAAUACAAAAGUUGCAUUGUAUAUUCUACUUAAAACUAUUGGUUGAACUCUGUAAUUAAUACACAGUUACUCUUAGGUGUUUAAUUAAUGUUAUAACUAGUACUCAAAUAGUAUUUUACACUUUGUGUUUCUGUGUGAGAGCAAUAUGUGGAAAUCUUUACUCAAUAUACGCUAAAUUGAUCUUCUGUAUAUAAAGAUAAUUGAAAAUUAAUCUUGAUGUGAAGGGAAGGGGAGAGGGAGUGGGAGGGAAGUUACGGGGGGGAGGAAGCUAUUGUAAUCCAUAAGCUGUACUUUGGAAAUUUAUGCUCAUUAAAUAAAAAAAAAGCAAAAAAAAAAAAAAAAAGAAGCAUUGCUUACUGCUAAUCAUACAAUUGGAGUGUUUAAAAAAUGUGAAAAGCAUGCAGUCAAGUAUAAAUAUAAUAAUAAUAAAUGGGAAAUUUCAAAACAUAUAUUAAAGUUGAGUACAGGGUGUUCUCAGAAGACAAAAGUUGGCAACUAAUACCAAAUAGGCAGGGACAUGAGGGUUUGCAUGUUUGUUCUACCGGUUAUCUUUAUAAUUUCUUUAAAUGCUACCCAUUACUGACAGUUCUUUAUAAUGCAGUCAGUAUAUCCUACUUCCCUAUGUCUCUCUAGUCCUUCUGCAACUCAUUUUUGGUGUCUGUUUUCCCACUCAUUUCAUAACACUUUAAAACUCUUUCAUCUGUAUGUCUUACCAUCUUUUAUGGAUAUCAUUUGAUGAAACAAGUAAAACUUAUGGAUAUUACUUGAUGAUAUCCAUAAAAGCUAACAGAGGGGAAGCAAAGAUGGUAAAAAAAAGUUACCUAGAGCGUAAUAUUUAGUUUACUGUUCUAUUCACAUGUUAAGGACCCAAGUCAGAAGUGUCUGUUAUAAUUAACUUCUUAUACAAGCGUACCCAUCAGCUCCUGAGAAUAUUCAUCAUGUUGAGCAGUCUAGGAAGAUGAUGGCAUUUAGUAUUUACAUCUGCCUUAUGAAAUAUAUGUAACUAGUCUCAUGUUUGAUAAUCAAAUGAAGGUUUGGGAGAUUAAAUAGCACACCCAAAAUCACAUAGCUGUUACAAGGUACUAAAUAGAGAAGACCAAAUUGUUCCCCACUCCAUGCUCAGGUCUCAAAUGUCUCAAGAAAUAGCUUUGCCUUGAGAAAGUAUGUUCCUUCUUUGCUAGUAGUCUAAUUCAGUAGCUUCUACUCACAGCUCUCAUUUCAACCCCUAACCCUCUGGAGGCCUGAUAGGGCCCUCCUUCCAGAAAGGUGUGAUAUUAUUGGAAAAAGUUCUGCAUUUCCCUUAGCUUCACUUUCGUUUUCUACAACUUCCUUUUUUUUUUUUUUUAGGAUUUAUUUAUUUUACUUGAAAGUUACAGUUACACAGAGAGAGGAGAGGCAGAGAGAGAGAGAGGUUUUCCAUCUGCUAGUUCACUUCCCAGAUGGCUACAAUGGCUGGAGCUGCACCGUUCUGAAGCCAGGAGCCAGGAGCUUCUUCCAGGUCUCCCAUGUGGGUGCAGGGACCGAAGCACUUGGGCCAUCUUCUACUGCUUUCCCGGGCCAUAACAGAGAGCUGGAUCGGAAGCGGAGCUGCUGGGUCUCGAACCGGCACCCAUAUGGGAUGCUGGCAUUGCAGGCAGCGGCUUUACCCACUACACUACAGCGCCCCCCCCUUCCUAUUUUGAAGGAAAAGAAUGUAAACAAAACUACUAAUAAUUCUAGAAAAACAAAUUACUAUCUGCUCUCUAAAGUAAUUUUUAAAAUUAUUUAUUUAUUUUGCUUCAGUGAUAGGACAUUUUAUACUCAAGGCUCCUCCAUUAAUUUACAAAAUUUUAGGUUUCCCUAUCCUGGGUUUCUGUUUCUUUUCAGUAAUUGUGGAAAAUGGCAUACACAGCGAGAUGUGUAGUCUGUUCUCCCCUUUGGUGUUAGUCUGAAUUGUCACUUUAAGUCAUUAAAAAGGGAAGGACGGUCAUCUCUGCUAGAAAAUAUAGUGGUUAUUGUCAGGGUGUUUGGCUUAGUGGUGACGAUGUUACUUGGGACACAUAUCCCAUAUGAUGGUGCCUGGGUUUGGUCUUGUCCCUGUCCCAGUGCCAGCUUUAUUCACCUUCGGAUGCAGUAAGUAACAGCUCAGGUUGUUGAGUUUCUGCCACCCAUGUGGGAGACCUUGAUGAAUUCCCUGUUCCUGGCAUUUGGCUUAGCUCAACCUCAGCUGUUAUGAACAUUUUGGUAGUGAAUGAGCAGAUGGAAUCUCUUUUUUCCUCCCAUCUCUUCUUCUGUCCCCACUCCCCAUUUACUCUGUCUCUCUGUCUCUUAAUAAAUAAAAAAUAAAGACAAAGAAAAAAGAAAAUAUAGUGGUUAGAUGGCGAUACUGGGCAGGUUACAUGAAUGAACUUUGGUUCACUGUAUCCAAUUGGGCAAGUAUUACCUCCAUUUGUUUUUAUCAGGGAUAAAAUUAUGAAAGAUGGCAUCUAUGUGAAAUUGUGUCUGUGGAGCUUGGAGGAAAAACAUUUUAUAAUAGUUUUGUAAGUAAUUAGAAAUGUGAUUGUAAGGAAUCACAUCUCAGUGAGAUGAGAGAAUACAGAUAGAUUAAAGAAAUGAGGAAAUCAAUGAAUGACAUGAGUGAAAAUAUUACUGAGGAGAUAGAAGUAAUUAAGAAACAAGUCAAACUUUUGGAGAUAAAAUAUUUAGUCAUUGAAAUAAAAAUAUGAUUAAGGGCUUUAAUAGCAAAACAGACCAAGAGGAGAAAAGAAUUUGUGACCUUGAGGACAAGAAUUUGAAAAAACCUAAUCAGAUAUAAAGAAAGAGAAAAAAUUUUAAAAAAUGCAGAAAGUCUACAUGAAAUAUAGGACACCAUUAAAUGAUCAAGUAUUAAUAUUAUAUGUAUUCCCGAAGGAGAAGAAAAGGAAAAAGGCAUUGAGAAACUGCUAGCUGAAAUAAUAGUUGAAAAUUUCCCAGGUCUUGAAAAAGACAUGGACAAUCAGGUACGAGAAGCUCAAAGAACCCCAGGCAAACUUGACCAAAAAAGAUCUUCUACAAGGCAUAUUGUCAUCAGAUUGUCAAAAGUUAAAGACCAAGAGAGAAUCCUAAAGACAGUAGAGAAAAGUGUCAAAUUAUUAAGGAAAAGCAAUUAAAUUAACAUUGGACUUCUCGAAGGAAACCCUACAGACCAGAAGAGUGGGAUGAUAUAGUCAAGGUCUUAAAAGGAAAAAAAAAACUUCCAGCCAAGAAUAUUAUUUCUGGUUAAGCUAUCCUUUAAAUGUGAAGAACAAAUAAAGUAUUUUCCAGAUAAGAAAGAAGUGACAGAAUUCACUACUACCAGCCCAGUCUUACAAGAAAUUCUGAAGGGCAUCCUCUAUUAGAAGUAAACAUGAAAACACAUGCCAACACCAAAUUCACUAAUGGAGCAGGUGGAUUAUUAUCCAGUCAACAAAAUGACAGGUCUUAGUUCUUAUCUGUGAAUUCUAACCUUGUAACAAGAUUAAAUUCUCCAAUCAAAACAUUUACGUUGGCUGAAUGCAUGAAAAAAAAAAAAAGCCUCAACUCAACUAUAUGCUGCCUAUAAGAAACUCACUUCACAAACAAAGAUACAUACAGACUGAAAGUGAAGGGUUGGGGCCGGCAUUGUGGCGUAGAGGGUAAGGCUGCGCCUGCAGUGCCAGCAUCCCAUGUGGGUGCCAGUUCAAGUCCCGGCUGCUCCACUUCUGAUCCAGCUCUCUGCUAUGGCCUGGGAAAGCAGUAGGAGAUGGCCCGAGUUCUUGGGCCCCUGUACCCAUGUGGGAGAGCUGGAAGAAGCUCCUGGCUCCUGGCUUCGGAUCGGUACAGCUCUGGCCAUUGUGGCCAAUUGGGGAGUGAACCAGCAGAUGGAAGACCUCUCUCUCUCUCUCUCUCUCUCUCUAUCUAUCUCUCCGUCUCUUUUUGUGUAACUCUUUCAAGUAAAUAAAUAAAUCUUAAAAAAAACAAAUAAAGUGAAGGUCUGGGAAAAGAUACACCAGGCAAAUGGAAGCCCAAAAGGAGCAGGAGUGGCUACCCUAAUAUUAAAUAAAACAGACUUUAGGUCAAAAACUAAAAAGAGAUAAAGAAAGACAUUUAUUUGUUCAAUUCAGAAGGAAGAUGUAACAAUCAUAAGUAUAUAUUUACCCAAUACAAGAUCAUGCAGAUAUAUAGAACAAAUACUAUUAGACCUAAAAGGGAGAGAUAGAUUCCAAUACAGAAAUAGUAGGUGACUUCAGCAUCCCACUCGCAUAAAUGGAUAGGUCAUCCCGACAGAAAAUCAAUGAAGAUACAUCAAAUUUGAAACAUACAGUAGAGCAAAUGGACUUAAUAGACAUUUAUAGGAAUCUCAUUCAACAGCCAUGGGAUACAAUUCUUCUCAUCAACACAAGGAAGUUUUCCAGGACAGACCACAUAUUAGGCCUCAAAUCAAGUCUCAGCAAAUUUAAAAAGACUGAAAUUAUACCAUGUGUCUUUUCAGACCAUAAAGAAAUAAAACUAGAAAUCAACAACAAGAAGAACAAUACAAUACUCAUAAAUACUUGGAAAUUAAACAACAUGCUACAGAAUGAUUACUUAAAAUUUGAAGAAAUUAAAAAGGAAAGCAAAAUUUUCUUGAUAUAAAUGAAAAUGAAAACAAUGCAUCAAAACCUGUGGGAUACAGCAAAAGCAGUAUCAUUAGGGAAUUUUAUAGCAUUAAAUUCUUACAUUUAAAAAAGUAAAAUGUCUCAAAUUAAAGAUCUAAUGUUACAUCUCAAAGAAAAGCAAGAAUACACCCCAAAUCAGCAGGAGGGUAGAAAUAAUGAGGACCAGAGCAGAAACAAAUGAAAUGGAAACACAAAAAUACACAAUAGAGCAACAGAACAAAAAGCUGACUUUUUGAAAAGAUUAAUAAAAAUAAAUAAACCUUUAACCAUACUAACAUAGAAAAAAAGAGAAAAAACCCCAGAUAAUUAGAUAUGAAAAAGGAGACAUUAUAACUGACACCGUAGAAAUACAAAGGAUCCUAAGAAACUGCCAUGAAGAACUAUGUGCUAAAAAACUGGAAAGCCUCGAAGAAAUGGAUAAAUUCCUGGAUUACCAUGAUUAAAUCAAGAUUUAGACAAUCGAAACAGAUCCAUAAGAAGCAAUGAGAUUGAAGCAGUAAUAAAAAGAUCUUCCAUCAAGGAAAAUUUCAGGCCCUGGUGGGUUUAUUACUAAAUAAUGCAAAACAUUCAAAGGUAACUCCAAUACUUCUCAAACUAUUCCAAAAUAUUGAAGAGGAUGGAACUCUGUCGAACUCUUCUUAUCAGGCUAGCAUCACUUUGUUACUAAAACCAAAGACAACACGAAAAGAAAACUACAGAGCUGUAUCUUUAAUGAACAUAGAUGCAAAGGUUCUCACAAAUACUAGCAAACCAAAUCCAAAACCACAUGAAACAGAUAAUACCUCAUGAUAUUGCUCUUCCUUCCUUCCUUUCAUUCUUUAGUUCCUUCUCCCCUUUUUUGAGUUGUUUCCCCUUUUGCUUCAUUUGAAUUGUUUUAUUGCUAUGUCUUCAAGUUUUCUAACAUUUUCUUCUGCAGUAGUUCAACAUUACAUUUAUCUUAUCCAAUGCAUUUUUCAUUUCAUUUCAUUGUGUUUUAAUCUCUAGAAGUUUGUUUUGUGGUUUUUGUACAUUCUAUUAUUUUAUUUAACAUAUUCAAUCUUCCUUCUAAAGUCUUUAACAUAUAAGAUACUCUAUUGGGGCUGGUGCAGUGGCAUAGUGGGUAAUGCCACAGCUGAUGGUGCCAGCAUCCCAUAUGGGCGCUGGUUCAAGUCCCAGCUGCUCCAUGUCUGACCCAGCUCUCUGAUAUGCACCUGGAAAGCAGUAGAAGAUGGCCCAAGUCCUUGGGCCCCUGCACCCACAUGGGAGACCCUGAAGAAGCUCCUGGCUUCUGGCUUCAGAUUGGCAGCUGUGGCCAUUGUGGCCAUUUGGAGAGUGAACCAGUGGAUAGAAGACCUCUCUCUCUCUCUCUCUCUCUACCUCUUUCUGUAAUUCUUUCAAAUAAAUAAAAUAAAUCUUUAAAAAAAGAUACAGUUAUAAUAACUGUUUUAAUGUCCUUGUCUACGAAUUGAAUUACCUGCAUCAUUUCAGGGGAAAUAUUUACUCUUCAUUAUAGAUAGCAUGAUUAAGGCUUCUUUGUAUGCCUAGUAAUUUUUGAUUGGGUGCCAGAAAUUGUAUGUUUAUUUAUUUUGCAUGCAACCCUAUAAACUGUCUUGUGUUUUGUUCUUGGACAUGAUUAAGUUCCUUAAAAGCAUUUUGAUAGGAAUUUUCAGUUGAGUCUUUGUUGAUGGGCUCAAAGUAAUAGUCAUCAAACGUUGAUUUUCUUAUUGAUAAACAAUGUCAUUCUUAGUACUCUAUAUAAUACUUGGAAAAUUCCACUGUAGCAUUUGGGACAAAUCCUGUUCCUAUGUCAUGUGUUAAUAUUAUUUCCUUUAAUCCUUUGAAGUCAUUCUUUUCUUGGUCUCUGGUGCUUUCAUCACAGAAAAGUAUUAGUCAGUAUUUAUCUGAAUACUUAAGUGGAGCCCUCUGAAAAGUCUGGAGUUAUUUCUUAGCGUGGCUUUUUGUUUUUCUGGUACUUUUUCCUGCUGGUUCUCUUUGCUUUGAUCUCUUGAAUGCUCAGCUUUGCCUCCUGAACUCAGGGAGACUACAGGACUUUGCUUGGGUUCCUUUGGCCUCCACCUUAUCUUGGCUGUUUUCUCCAGGUGGUUAUAAACUAUACAAUCAUGAGGUUCACUACAAUUGUUUCCCCUAUCUCUGGAAUCAUUAUUUUUUUUAAUGAUGUCUUGAGAGUUCUAAUAUAGUAAAUCUUUGAAAACAGACAUCCUCAGCUUGGUGGCAUCCUAAAAUUAAGUGACCAUUUUUUGGGUAUUAUUUUUACAUUGACAUAAUUAUUUUCUAGCCCUAAUUUCCUCUUACUUUAAUAUUACACAUUGGCAGCAAUUCACUUAUAUAAAAUUUCCUUCUUCAUUCAUAUAUUCAUGUGACUAGUGUUUUCAGCUUCAGAACACUACUGUACUGAACUUACUGUAUUUACUGUUGGUUAUAAUAUAACGCUUGUACAGAUUUAUCAAAUGGCCUAGAUUUGUUCAAUAUUUAAAGUUAUGGAAUUAGAUUUUGUCUCUGAAGUGAUGGUAUUUGAGGUUCAAAAGAAGUAGUAGGAAUGAACACAUUUGCUGAUGGCUUGUCAAAUGACUAGUCUAGAGUCAAUCAGUGCGUCACUGUCUGAGCUAGAAACAGCUCUUGUGAGGGUAACUUCCAUACCACACUUUCCCCCAUUCAUAACAGAAAGCAUGAUUAAGGAAGUGCUGUGUGCUUUGUUAGAAUACUUGUGUUGAAUGAUAACUUUCAAGUGUUGAUGUGUCACAAGGAGAUCUAGAAAUUCAUCAGUAUAAUUAACACACUUCAGUUUCUCCUUUUCAUCAUUCUAAAUAACACAUUAUUUCUUCAGUGCUUUCUUCAUUGAAGGAAACUUUGACAUAGUACAUGCAACUUAAAAUGAAAUUCACUUUCAAAAGAUUGAUUUCAUAUAGUGACCUUUAGGGCUGUGAUCUGGAGACGGAUAAUCUCAGGGAAGCAAAGUGAGCUAGAAUGGGCUGAUCUUCAGAUUUUUUAAAAAUGCUAUUUAAGUUUAUUUUUUUGUAAGAAAAAGUAUCAUGUCUUUUAAUUUUUUCAAUACUUGCAGAAAAUCACAUUGAAACGAUUUUUGCACCAUGAUUUAGAAACAUACAAAUUUAUAAUCCAAUUCAGUAGUUAGAACCUGAAUAUUUCCCCCAGAUGCAAAGUUUAUAUUUGAUAUUUUUUGUAUGCUACCUCCUGCUACUUCUUGCUAUGCUCAUGCAGGCGCAAUUAUCUGUGUCAGUCUUUCAUUUGUUAGGUACAGCAAUGAUUAUAAAGAAAUUUCCAGGGAAGGCAUUUGACCCAGUGGUUAAGAAACAGAUUUAGAUGCCCACAUCCCACAUCAAAGUAUCAGGCUUCCAUACCUGCCGCAGCUCUUAGCUCUGGCUUCCUGCUAACAGGUGUGGCAAAGGCUCAAGUAAUUGGCUUCCUGCCACAUGUCUCAGCUUCAGUGCGUUCCUGACUGCCAGCUUAGCCAUGGCUGUGGGCUAUCGCAGGCAGCUGGUGAAUGUACCACUGGGUAAGAUCUCUCUCUCUCUCUGUUCCUCUCCUUCUCCCUCCUUCUUAAGUAAAGAAAUGAAAAAUUUUAAAAAUCUUCUCAGAAACAUUCAUGGUCAUUUUUUUUCUGUUCAGAAUUGUUACUGAAGUAACUUUACUAAUAAAGGUAAUAAUGAUAGCUAAUGCUAAAAUGCUGAGAUAGUAGAUAUAAAACCAUCUUAGGUAUUUUAGAUUGCUUGAUCUAAUCUUUACCAUAAUCCUUUGAGAAAAAUGCCAUUGACCUCAUUUAAUACAAUUUGACAACUAAGUGCCAAAAAGAUUGGCUUUUCUAACUUAGUGAGAACUUGGAAUAGAACUGAAAUCUGAAUUCAGAGUUCAUGCUUGUUCCAUUUCUCUCUCUCUCUCUUUUUUUUUUUUUUUUUUUUGGACAGGCAGAGUUAGACAGUGAGAGAAAAACAGGGAGAAAGGUCUUCCUUCCGUUGGUUUACCCCCCAAAUGGCCGCUAUGACCGGUGCUGCGCCAUCCAAAGCCAGGAGUCAGGUACUUCUUCCUGGUCUCCCAUGCGGGUGCAGGGCCCAAGUGCUUGGGCCAUCCUCCACUGCCCUCCCAGGCCACAGCAGAAAGCUGGCCUGGAAGAGGAGCAACCAGGACAGGAUCCAGUGCCCCAACCGGGACUAAAACCCAGGGUGCCGGUCCUGCAGGCAGAGGAUUAGCCUAGUGAGCCACGUUACCAGCCAGCUUGUUCCAUUUUUCUAUGCUGUUUCUCAAUCACUGCUUUGUAGGACGAGAGCAGUCACUACUUUGGAAUAAACUUUCCUCUAAGCGUAUUGGGCAGGUGAUCCUUGAGAACUGUCUCAGUACAAUAUAGAGGAAAAUUUUGCUCUCCAGAUGAAGUUUUCCCCCAGUUGGCUAGUCCUACAGGUUACUACCAUGGCUUCUUUUUUUGCAUUUGUAUCUUUCCCAAGUUGAAAUAUAAUGUAGAAUUGCUUUGUUUGAAAGAUUUAUUUAUUUGAAAGAGUUACAGAGAGAGGAGAGAGAGAGAGGGGAUAGAGGAGAGAGAGAGAGAGAAUCUUCUAUCUACUGAUUCACUCCCCCAAGUGACUGUGAUGCUCAGGAUUGGGCCAGGCUGCAGCCAAGAGCCAGGAGGUUCUUCCAAGUCUCCCAGAUGUUUGGCAGGGGUCCAAACUCUUGGGCCAUCAUUUAUUGCUUUUCCAAGACCAUUAGCAGGGAACUGUAUGGGAAAUGGAGUAGCUGGAACACGAACUGGUGCCCACAUGGGAUGUCAGCAUUGCAGGCGUUGGAUUUACCCAAUACACCAUUGUGACGACCCCAUGGAACUUUUUCAGAGGUGUGGAGCUUACAGCUCACAAGCAGAGUUCUUCCAUGGCAACUUAUAUUUCAGGACUGUAAACUAGGUACUUGUUUUUUCUCCAUCAGUUUAAUUAGUUUUUUCCUCAUGAUAGUUAUUCUCACAGAAAUUUUCAUCAGUGUAUCAAAACUGUAGAUUUCACUAGCAUAUUAAGAUCUCUACCUAAUUCUUGGGAAUGACUCAAAAUUUUUAGUUCUGUUCAAAAUUAGAUUUUUUGUUGGGGCCAGUGCCAUGGCGCAGUAGGUUAAUCCUCUGCCUGUGGUGCCGGCAACCCAUAUGGGUGCUGGUUCUAGUCCUGGCUGCUCCUCUUCCAAUCCAGCUCUCUGCUGUGGACUGGAAAGGCAGUGGAGGAUGGCCUAAGUCCUUGGGCCCCUGCACCCACGUGGGAGACCAGGAGGAGGCACCUGGCUCCUGGCUUUAGAUCAGUGUAGCUCUGGUCGUUACGGCCAUUUAGGAAGCACACCAACGGAAGGAAGACCUUUCUCUCUGUCUCUCCCUCUGUCUGUAACUCUACCUAAUAAAUAAAUAAAAUCUUUUUUUAAAAAAAGAAUGACCAUGUAUCAGUGAGAAUUUUAGGAACUGACUUGUGAGCAGCAUGCCUCAUUGGACAUUCCUGAUUAAAAAAAUUGAAUAUUUUGGACUUCAAAUUCCCAUAUUAUACACUUACAUUAAGUGCAUCUUAUGAAUUUUACAGUGAGGAGAUUCUUUACAGGAUGUGUUUUAAAAUUAAUGUUUUCAAGAUCACAUAGUAGGACAAUAUUUUGUGCCAAGAUGAAAGCAUGAAAAGACAGACACUUAGAUAGCAUUAAGGUGAGAGAGAAGCAUGAGAUCAACUUUAUGAUUCCAAGGUGGUUUAUGAGAACCCUAUACACCAAGGGGCUUUCCAUUAGAAAAGCACUAAAAGUUAGUUCUGUGAAAUCUAGGGGUUUUUUGAUGUUCAGUUGUAACAUAUGUGGACUGAAAAAUUAGAUCUUAUUUCAUAAGCAUCCUGUGUGAGUUUCUUUGCAGUACAGGAAAUAGGUUAAAAAAAAGAUAAGAAAGAUAUACAAAAUAGCUAUUCAGGACUCCUUCAUACCAGCUCAUACCAGUGUGGCCCUUUCCGGGAAUCUAUGAGUGUUUCUUAUGCUGCAUACUUAAAACACAGAAAUGGGAGGAUAGCCAUACUCAGUUAAAUUCUGAAGCUUCUUUUCUGGCAGGAUCAUACGUUUUUGCAUGAAUCACUGAUGCUGACAUGUAAACACAUGCAUCUGAAUAUUAUAUAUGCAAACUGUUUCUUUUUAGAUAUUCAAACACAUAAAAAUUCACUUCAUUUCUAUUUCAUUCUUGACAUAUAAGGGUCUCCAGAAAGUAUAUGGAAAAUGCAUACUGGCCAGUGCCACAGCUCACUAGGCGCCAGCACCCCAGGUUCUAGUCCCGGUUUGGGCACUGGAUUCUGUCCCGGUUGCCCCUCUUCCAGUCCAGCUCUCUGCUGUGGCCCGGGAAGGCAGUGGAAGAUGACCCAAGUGUUUGGGCCCUGCACGCGCAUGGAGACCAGGAGGAAGCACCUGGCUCCUGGCUUUGGACCGGCGCAGCACGCCAGCCGUAGUGGCCAUCUGGGGAGUGAACCAAUGGAAAAGGAAGACCUUUCUCUCUGUCUCUCGCUCUCUCACUGUCUAACUCUCCCUGUUAAAAAAAAUGCAUACUGUGGGGAGCAACCCGGACUAGACUAAGUUACUGGAAUUAAGACUUAUUCUAUGCAUCUGCUCUCCCAUAAUAUGGCGCUGGGAGAGGAGAAAACAGCUUCUACCCAGCUGCCUCCAGUUCAACCAAUAAACAGCAGGACCUGCUCCUGAUUGGAGGAGAGCAGCGUACUCGGCGUGUGGGCAGCCGAGUUGGGAUUGGUGGAAGAGGACUAUAAAGGAGGAGAGAGACGGCAUGCACCAGGAACAUCUAAGGGGAACAUCUAAGGGGAACGCCUGUGCAGCCCCCGAGAGAGCCGGCCGGUGGUGUGCCGCUCCCCUGCGGAAGUGGGGAAAGUGGCAGGGGGAACCGCCCUUCCAUGGAGGAGGAAGGGACGGCAGCCAACCCGGGAAGAACCAGCAGCAAACCCGGGGAGUGCCGAGCAGACGAAAGAACAGCGCAGGGUCCUGUGUCGUUCCUCCACGAAGAGGGGGAGCGACAUAAUGGUGCCGUGGCUCGGAUAUGAAGCCUAGGCAGGGCUUAGUGUCGUUCCUCCAUGAAGAGGGGGAGCGACACAUACUAAUGAAAAAAGCUAUGCAUGAAUUUCAAAGUUUUUUGUAGCAAAGUAAAUUUAUGUUUUAAUUCCAUUUUCUAUGAAAUUUUUGAAGUACCCUGACAUUAUGCUGCUUCUGCUGUCCGACAUGAUCCCCAAUGACUGUCCACUCUACCCUUCAUUCUUUCCAUGGUCCUUUACUAGAAAGAUACACAGGUUUUAAAAUAUGUAUUAUAAUGUGUGUUUUAAAGAGCUUUAGAGAAAUGGCAUUUAUCACUUGUUCACCUUUAAUACAACUCUAUGAGAUAGAUAUUACUUUAUAGUAAAAGAUUGAGACUCAGAGGUUUUUCCUAAAACUUAAAGUCACAUAUCUACAAAAAUACAUACAUUGAGAACUCAUUGUGUGUUAUCAUUUCCGUGUAUUACCCAAUCUUCACAUGGAUUUUAAGAUGAAAGGACUACUUAAUCUAUUUUACAGAUGAGGCAACUCUAGGUUCGGGAGGCUAAACAUUUUUCCUGAGUUCACACAGGCAGCAAAUCUCAGGGCUAGAAUUAUUAGCCCUGGUGUCUGAGUCGAUCCUCAGUGGCUAUCCAGUCUACCCCGCAUCCUUUCCCUCAUCCACUGACUCCUAAUAACCCAGACACACCCAGGGCCUUUGCCUUCAUUAUCAAAGGUUAUCCACCUAAGAUGUUUUUAUUUUUAGAUAGUUUAAUUGGUGUAAAAUUUUCUAUAAGUUAGUAAUUUGAGGUAUUAAUCCAACUGGAAUUGUCUUUAAUAUGUCUUUUUUUUUACUCACAAGAGAAACAUCUGCAUCCAAGACAUAUACCCUGAAAUACGAGUGACAGGUGUUUUAGUGGCAGCAAAUGUCUGGAAUAGCCUCUUAUUAGUUAAAAGUUUGCCCUCAAGAGUGAGCAAUUGGCACUGUAUGGAGUAAGCUUACUUUAUAUAAAAUCUCUCUGAAACAUCUUCCUUAAUUGUUUAAAACAUGUCCCUGACAUGCUUGGCAAAGCCUUAAUUAACUCUGAGUCAGCCAGGAAACUGGUAGAGAAAUAGCUGGGAGUUGUUGUGGAAGAUGGGGUCUGGCCCUUCUGCCUGAAACCUGAGACCACACUUCCCUGCAGGGACUGGGCAACUGCCCCUGUGAGGACAGGUGCAUAAGGAAGGGACUGCUUUGUCCUCAGAUGUCCAUUUUCCUCCUCAGUCUCACUCUUGAACUUCCUCAGUGGUAGCUAAUGUGAGGGAAAUGGUCAAGCUGACAGUUUCUCAGGUUCUCCAUCAGGAUGGAGAUAGAUAGCUCUAAAAUGUGGGAAAACGCUAGUGUGAGUGUUGAUGACCAGGACAUCCCUCCCAUUGUUCUUUUCCUUCUUCUGAGCAGGCUCUAACUCACUGCUGAGACUUCAGAGUGGAAACCUUUACUGGAUGCUUAGGCCAUAAACCUCAAGUCACAUACAUUUCCUAGAAGUAAAACUAGCUGCAGAUACAGGCUGCAUCCUAAGUACGUGGUUAGUGCCUGAAUUUAUGUCUUUUUUGUGAAGAAAUGUUUCUAUGGACAUAUGGUAACCGCAUAUUUGUAGAGUACAGUGUGAUAAUUCAAUACACAUGUUGAAUACAAACAGUAUGUAAAGAUCAAAUCAGAGAAAUCAGCAUUCCCAUCUCCAUAAACCUUUAUCAUUUAUUUGUAUUAAGAAAUUUUAAGCUCCUAUCUGCUACUUCUUUAUAUAAUAAUAUAAAGAAUCUAUAAUAAAUAUAUAAUAAACUGUUACAAACUAUUGGGAGUUAUGUCUUUAGGUGAGGAGGAAAUGCUACUGAAAACUUUAACCUUGAAAAUUCAGACUUAAAAAAGCACAGCAUAUCAUAGACACAAUCAUGCAUUAGAUGAAAACUGAUUUGUAAACCCCCACCAUCCUUCUGGAUUGCCCUUUUACCCAGUACUCUUGCCUUUGUUGCAAAUUAAAACAUUUCCUCCUUGUGUGGAUUUUAUCUGUUACUUGGUGGUUAAAAGGAGAUACUCUGGGGCAGAAUUAUCACUCACAAUUUAUAUUAGCCCGCUCUAACGCUUACUCUGUACACUUUGAAGCUCAGUUUAAAAGUGUAUCUACUUGACUACUUAUUAUCAAAAUGAGUUCAAAUUGAGUUUUUGCUGAGUGGGAGCUAAAUUAUCUUAUGCAUUAUGAUGAGUACUGCUUGAAGGGUGACCCGUGGAGAAAGAAGAAUGAGGGCAAGUACACUGGUGCAGAGCUCUGUAGGUGGCAUAGAUGCGGGUAUCUGUGUCAAGAACUCAGGGAAAUGCGGGGGCUUCCUCACCAAAGGCACCCUCCACCCUGUCCCCAAUGCGGCUUCAGACGGCUCAAAAAGAGGCUGCAUUUUCUGGUUACUUUUCAGCAGGGCAGCAACAGGAGCAGGUUAGAAGUUUUUGGCUUACUCUCUUACUUUUUUUUUUUUUCUUUUAGUUAAAAUCCUUAGUUACCAGUAAGCAGUUUUGAAGACUUCUGAGGAAUAAUGUGGGGUAAAGAUAAAAUUUUAUGGUAAAAGAUAAGUUCAAGUGAAAGGAAGAGUGUGUAUUUUUUUUAAAGAUUUAUUUAUUUGAAAGGCACAGUUUUAGAGAGAGAGGAAGAGAUACAGACACACACACACACACACACACACACACACAAUCCUCCAGCCCCUGGAUCACUCCCCAGGUCACAGGAAUUGCCAGUGGUGGGCCAGGAGUUUCAUCUGGUCUCCCACGUGGGUGCAGGGAUCCAAGUACUUGGGUCAUCUAUUGUUUUCCCAGGUGCAUUAACAGGAAGCUGGAUCAGAAGUGGAGGAACCAGUAUUCAAACUGGUGCCCUUAUGGGAUGCUGGCAUUGCAGACAGUGGCUUAACCUACUAAACCACAAUGUGAGCCCCAAGGAGUGUGUAAUUUUAAUUCUAGCAAAUUCACAAGGGUUGCUGUAUUAUUGUCAUCAUCUAUGCAAUUCAAGACAUAUGGCUGUAAUUAAUGCAUAGUAAUAUAAUAAUAAAUGUUUAUUUUAUAAAAUAAUGUUUAUUUUCCCAGUAGAGAAGACGCUGCAUACUAAUUGCACAGUUCUGUUUAAUGCAUAGCAGAACACAAUCAAGGCUGUUAGAGAAGUACUGAAGAACUCAUAGAAGUAUCAAGUUCAGUUCCAAGAGGUGGCUUCCUCCAUGCUUUUCCCUUGUUGCCAAUGCUCACUUCAUGAGGUUAACUCAGAUCAAAGUCCCUGAAUUCCUUCAUUUACAGUGGUUAAAUAAAAGUAUUUUCAGUUGGCAUGCAAAAAUUGUGCUUUGAUAGGUUUAAUUAAGUGACAUAUUUGGCACUCUAAGACAAAAUGAAAUUGAAGUUCAGUUGGUCAUGAUGUUUUUUAAAGAUUUUAUUUAUUUGAAAGGCAGAAUUACAGAGAGAGAAAGACACACACACACACACACACAUCUUCUAUCUGCUGGUUCACUCCUCAGAUGGCUGUAAUGACCAGGGCUGGCCAUAGCAACUGAAGCCAGGAGCCAGGAGCUUAUUCCAGGGCUGUCAUGUGGGUACCAGGGCCCAAGUACUUCGUCCAUCCUGUGCUGCUUUCCCUGGCACAUUAGCAUUGAGCUGGAUCUGGAGUGGAGCAGCUACGAGUUGAAUUGGUACUUAUAUGGGAUGCUAGUCUCACAGGCAGCCACUCAACUCCUUGUGCCACUAUGAAAAGUUAACAUUUAGGUGAUAAAAAUGAUUGUUUUGAUUCACACUUUUCUAUUUGCUUGAAGUUUUCUAAUAUUUAUUGAAAUGGUAAAAUAAAAAGUAAAAAAAUUAGAAUUCAGUUUGCUCACUUGUAUUUUUCUUCAUUUGAGAUUUCUUGUCAGUAUUAAUUUUCUGAUUUUCUCUCUCACAUUCAUUACUAGCUUGCUUAAGAUAGUUGUGGCUUGUGCUUUAUGUUUAUGUCUAAUCAUCAUGUAGGGUUUAGUGUUUGUCCUUGAUUUUUCAUUAUUUAAAAUUAUAUACUCAAUUGUUGCACUAACAUAAAAUGAAGAAGGCAAGCAUUUGGUGCAACAGUUAAGACAUCAUUUGGGACACUGACAUCCCAUACCAGUGUGCCUGGCUUUGAGUCCCAGUUCCAUUCCCAAUUCCAUCUUUCUGCUGAUGCACACCCUGUGGGGGGUGGGGAGGGAGAAGGGGAAGAGCAGGUGAUGACUCAAGUGGUUGGGUACCUGACAACCACAUGGGUGACCCAAAUUGAAUUUCAGUCUCCUGACAUCAGCCUGACCUAGCCCCAGCUGUGUGGGUAUUUGGGGAGUAACCAGUGCAAGGAGAUUGAUUGAUCUCUUAUCUGUCUACCUACCUACCUACCCAUCUGUCAAAUAAACUUAAGAAUAAAAUAAAAUGGAUUUCAUGAACCUUCAUUUUAUAUUUCUAGCUUCUGCCAUGAUCUUACCUAAUACUGUGUGAUUCAUGUGAUAGUGAACAGACUCAAUUUCAACACAUGGCUCUUUUUCUUUUCUUUUUUUUAAAGAUUUAUUUAUGUGAAAGAGUUACAGAGAAGGACACACACACACACACAGCAAGAGUGAGAGAUCUUGCAUCUGUUGGUGCACCCCUCAGAUGGCCACAACAACCAGGGGUUGGGCAGGCUGGAACCAGGAGCUAGGACCUCCAUCUGGGUCUCCCAUGUAGGUGGCAGGGGCCCAAACACUGAUUUUCCCAAGCUAUCAGCAGGGAGCUGGAUCCAGACACAUAGUUAUUUCUGAGAAACAAUGGGUGACAACUCAUCUCGAUUUUUCCUAUACUUUUUCAAAAGUGAGGAGACAUAACCAGCCAGAGACAACUAAAUUCCUCUGACUUUUGAGUGAUAAGAGGAAUUGAUGUUCCUAACUGUUGUCUUUUUUGCACCAACCCUCUGCGCUAUGUUUUUGCCCAUAUUGUGAUAUGUGAGUUAUGAAGAGCUGCAAGAACCUACAUUGAUGGAGUUACGAGGAAAUGUGGGAAGUGAAAAUGAGUUGUUAUGUGAAGCCUGGCUGGAAAGUAGAAGCUGAUCAUUCCCAUCAAGGACUGUAGAUGGUAGUCUGAGUGUUCUUGCAAAAAGGUUUUAUUUUUUGUAUAUUCAUUUAUUUUUUUGACUUGCAACAAAACUCAACAGUAGUAAGCUAAACAGGUUUAUAUUUAAUUAAAAUAAUUAUUUCUGUUACUCAAGAAGAUAUAUUAUUAAAAUGGACUUGCAUAAAACAUGUGUCAGCAUUUUCCAUCUACCGUGGGGUCUGUGGUACUUUUGCUGACCAUGUGAAGAAGGGAAGACACAAAUGUAUGAAAGAAGCCCAGACUGUACUUCAAAAGUGAGUAAUUCUGUCAUGAAGGCUGUGCAGGGACUGUGAUGAUCAUCAUUUCAGACAUCAACGAAGAAUCUCUGUGAUAUCAUUCCAUUAGAGCAUGGAAACCAUAACAGAUUGAUUAGAAACCAACUCCAAAUGUUGAAAUAAUUUUUUAUACUCCCUGGAGAGUGGCUCAAAGUUCCCUCUGUGUCCUCAAACACCCAGUUAUUCUGAGCCCCUCAGGUAGAUUCCCACACACAGGCCCUUCCUCGGUCUACUGUUAGCCAAUGCGAGUUCACAUUUUUGCUUUAGCUGCCAUCUCAGCUCAUGAUUUUGAUCCAGACUUCCAGUGUGGCUUUCAACAGGGAUUAUAGCCAGAACAUUGAGUUUAGCUAAUCCCAUACACUGUGCCUCUAAACCUUUGACCAUAAUAGUGAAUUUUUACAUGCAUGCUUUUUCAAAUUUUUUUUUUAAAUUUAUUUGACAGGUAGAGUUAUAGACAGUGAAAGAGAGAGACAGAGAGAAAGGUCUUCCUUCCAUUGGUUCACUCCCCAAAUGGCCACUAUGGCCGGUGCUGUGCCGAUCCAAAGCCAGGAGCCAGGAACCAGGUGCCAGGUGCCCCCUCCUCGUUUCCCAUGUGGGUGAAGGCGCCCAAGCACUUGGGCCAUCCUCCACUGCACUCCUGGGCCACAGCAGAGAGCUGGACUGGAAGAAGAGCAACUGGGACUAGAACCUAGUGCCCAUAUAGGAUGCCAGCACCACAGGUGGAGGAUUAACCAAGUGAGCCAGGGUGCUGGCCCACAUGUAUGCCUUUUUCAAAUUGAUGGUACUUUUUUUUUUCUUUUAAAGAUUUAUUUAUUUGAAAGGCAGAGAGAGAGAGAGAGUAUCCACUCACUGGUUCACACUCCUAAAGGCCACAAUGGCCAAGGCAAGGCCAGGCCAAAGCCAGGAGCUUCUUCCAGGUCUCACCUGUGGGUGACAGGCACCCAAAAACUUGGGCCAUCGUCUGCUACUGUCCUAGGAUAUUAGCAGGGAGCUAGAUCAGAAGUAGAGCAGCUGGGACUUGAACCAGCAUCCAUAUGGAAUGCUGCCACUACAGGCAGUGGCUUAACCUACUGCAGCACAAUGUUGACUCCUGCCAUUACUUUUAAAAGAGAAAUUGAUGGUGUGAAGUAGUCAGUUUUCUCAGUGAGGUAUUCCUUAAAAGUAGGAACAAUCCCAUCAGGCAUUUUUAGUUAAAUUUCUUGGCACAGAAAGUUUCCUCAGUAAUGUAGAAUUUGACUUUUAAGUCUCAAAGAAAUGAAAGAAAUAUUUAUGUCAAUAAUUGACAUUGAAAAUAACAGAACUCCCAAAGCCAGCUUUCCUUCUCCUGUUAUAAAAUUGCAGAGCAUUUAGUUUUUGUAAUAUUAUUUCAAGUAAUUGGUAUUAUAGUGCUGAUAUUGUAGCCUCAAUGUUUAUCUUCCCAAAAGACUUCACCUAGUUUGGUGCACUUUUUUUUUUUUUUAAUCUUUGUGCUGUUCCCAUGGGAUUAGAAGUGGAAAAGGUUACUGUUUUCUUUUAGAAAUAAACAUUCCAGGUUUCACUGGGAAUUAAUGAGGUAGGGAUUAAAUGAGAUCCUCUGCUUCUCAGGCCAGAGCUUUCGCUUCCAGAUGGUUCACAUAUUUCAUGGGUUUCUCAUUACAAAUGAUUAGGAGUAAUGAGAAAAAUGGUGAUAAGGCUAUUGUUACUGGAAAUUUUCAAGUUGUUCAUGAAAGUGCUUUCUUUUUAGCAAAAAACGUACCAUGGCAUAGUUCCUUGCAUGAACUCCUUUGGAGGAAUAAAAAAGUUCAGAGGGAAUGUCCAGAAGAUGACUCUCUGGGAUGACAGUGAAUUGGCACUUAGUCAACAGGGGAUUUCUCACACGCACUUAAAGUUUAACCCACAACCACACUUGUCAGCAAUUUCUUUCUUCCCAGUCAGAAACGUUUAUAUAUUAUGCUUAGAAUAUGAAGUAUCCACAGCUCCUUGUUAACCACUUUCAUCCCUUCAAGAGAACUGAACCUAAAGAAUGGGACUUUGUGUGUGUGACCAGUUACUCAUUUCUUGCAAAUACAAAACCUGAAAGUUACAUGAAAUGAGGAUAGCAACAAUCUGUUUUUCAAGGAAUUUAUUCUCCUCUGAAACAUUUCUGUUUUUCCUUUUAAGAUUUAUUUUACUUAUUUGAAAGGGAGAGUGGUCAUACAUCACACACACACACACGCAUACCCACCACACAGAGAGAGAGAGAAAGAAAGAGAGAGAGAGAGAGAGAGAGAGAGAGAGAGAUUGUUUAUAUGAUGGUUCAUUCCCCGAUUGCCUGCAACAGCCAGGGGCAGAGCUAGGCCAAAGCCAGGAACUGGAAACUUCAUCCAGGUCUUCCAAAUGGGUGGUGGGAACCCAAACACUGGAGUCAUCAUCUGUUGCCUCCUAGGAGCCUUAGCAGGGAGGUGGAUCAGAAGUUGAGGUGAGACUUUAUCCCAGGGAUUCUGAUAUGGAAUGCUGGCAUCCCAAACAAUGGCUUAAUCCAUUGUACCACAAUGCCUAUCCCAAUAUUUCUGUUUAUCAAAGACCAAAACGAGGUUGGAUGUCUUGGAGUCUGUCUCUACUCCAGGCCAAUUUCUCUUUGAAAGCAACAAUGGACAUUUCUUUUUGAUAUCAUUGGUAUAAAUAAAUUAUUAUUUUUAAGUUAUAGUUCCUUCAAUAAUCAGAUGAAUUUUGGAGACACAUUAUUGAAAAGUGUUUUGCCAUAAAUUUCAGACAUUCUUGGGAUUACUUUAUAGUACUGAGUAGUACUUAAGGCAUUUACUUUGUCAACUUUGUAUAACAUCAUUUGUGAAAUAUUCUGGAGAUAAGAAAACAUCUUCCUCAUUAAAAGUCUGAGAUGUGACUUUAUAUAAUCAUCCAUAGAAAAUCAUUAUGCAUUUAGUAAUUUUGAUAAUUUAAAAUUAACCAAUGUGAAGUAUUUAUAGGCAAAAUACAUUCAUUUUUUAAUUUUAUGAUUUAUUUAUUUAUUUGAAGGACAGAGUUACAGAAAGGAAGAGGGAGGGAGGGACGGGGAGAGGGGUCUUCCAUCUGCUGGGGUCACUCCCCAGAUGGCCACAGUGGCCGGAGCUGCACUGAUCCGAAGCCAGGAGCCAAGAGCUUCUUCCCGGUUUACCAUGCAGGUGCAGUGCCCAAGGACUUGGGCCAUCUUCUGCUGCUCUCCCAGAGAGCUGAAUUGGAAGUGGAACAGCCAGGACUCGCACAGGUGCAAAUAUGGGAUGCCAGCAUUGCAGCCAGUGGGCUUUACCCACUACGCCACACCACUGGCCCCCAGAAUACAUUCUUAUGAUUCAAUUGGAUAUCAGUGGAUAGAAUAAGAAUAUAAAAGAAUAAAAAGGAUAGGCCUUUCUCUUGUCAAAGAUGAGCAAAGAGAGUUAAAGCAAGGAAAAGUUUUAUUCAGUAACUGUCGGCAACAGUAGAGAGGGCAGAGCUCCAGCCUAUUUUGCCUGGAAGGAAGUAAGUGGGCAUCUUAAAGGGAAAAUGAGGCAGUCGGGUCAGGAUAAAGUGCAUGCUCAAGUGGAGCAGGGAAGUGAGAAAUUAUCAAGGCUUCGUCACUACGUGCGAGCAGCUGCCAAUGCUCAAAGUUAGGAUUCUGUCAUCUCAGAGACUGGAAGACAGAGGCCCUGUCCUUCUGAUGAUUGUGUUUCCAAAGAGUGAUUUUCAGACCCUUGGGAAAGUCUCCCUUGGGUUGCAGGAGAUGAAUCAGACAUCAAAGAGAUGAGUUUUCCCAGACAGGAACACAAAAGAGAGUUUUAGCCUGCUUAGAAAUCCUGCUAGAGUGGAUCUCCAUGCAGAUUUGGGAUGGAGUCCGUAUGUGCUGGGGAUUCUUUGUCACCUGUUUUCUCUCUCCUCUUUCUUUGUCUCCUCUCUUCCUCCUUUGCUGUUCAUAUUUUAUUUAUCAUGCUACACUAUGGGAAAUGGAAAUCACCACUGUAAGUAUUUUAAGCAAGAAAGUUUUUUUUUUAAAUAUUUAUUCAUUUAUUUGAAAGGCCGCAUUACAGAGAGAAAGGGAGACAGAGAUCUUCCAUCCACUGGUUCAUGCCCCAGAUGGUUACAAUGGUCAGGGCUGCACCAGGCUGAAGACAGGAGCCAGGAACUUCCUCCAGGUCUCCUACAUGGGUUCCAGGGAUCCAAGUGCUUGGGCCAUUCUCCACUGCUUUUUUCCCAGGCCAUUAGCAGGGAGCUGGAUCAGAAGUGGAGAAGCCAAAACACGAACUGGCAACCAUAUGGGCUACUGACAUCACAGGAGGCGGCUUACUCUGCUAUGCCACAGUGCUGGCAACUAAACAAGAAGGAUUUUAAUAUUGAGAAUUAUGUGCUUGAAGAAUGACUGAAAGUGGUAAGAGAGAGGAUUGUAGGCUGAGCCUCCAGGACUGACCCCAGAUUGACUACUGGGAAGUUAACACCUCUGAAUUCCUUACUAGAGCUCUUGGUUCAAGAACACACCCUGGAGCUGUUGUGGAGCUGUUAGGAUGCUGGAACUGUGAGGCUGGCACUGCCACAUUUCAAUGAUCCACCAACACUGAGCACACUAGAAAGUGGAUUCCCACAUCUAGUCUUGAUACCCAAGAAACUGUAGAAUAAAUGCAAGAAGUUUACUGCAAAGAUAGCUUUGACAUUGUCAUUUGCUUCCAAAUUUUCUAAUCAACAGAAACUAGCCACAAAGUUUGCUUUCUCUCUUUUUAUUUUCCCUUUUUUUCUUCACCCCUACCUUUUAAAUGCAUGAGUACAGGCUGGCUAUGUGGUGCAAGGGUUUUUGAUAUUGGCUUCCUAUUUUCGAGUGUCAUUACGAGUCCUGGCUGCUCCAUUUCCAGUUCAGCUCUGCUAAUGUACCUUAGAAGGCAGCAGAAGGUGAUCCAAGUACCUGAGUCCUUUUUUUUUCCACCUGAUUCCUUGUCACCCAUGUUUGAUACCUGGGUUUGGCCUGGCCCAGUCCCAGCUGUUUCAGCCAUUUGGGGAAUAAAUCAAUGGAUGGAAGACCUUUAUGUCUGUCUGUCUCUCUCUCUCUCUGCCUUUCAAAUAAACAAAAUAAAUUUCUGUUUACAAAAAGUACAAGUAAAAAACUUGGUGCAUGAAAAGUGGUAAACAUUGCUAAGCUUUAAAAAUUAUACAUGAAAUGGGUGAAUGCCGCAACCCAGAUAGGGAGACAGAGGAAGAAGAGUUGCUGUCCCAUGAAUUAAAUGCUGUAAUGGAAUUUUGCAUGAAGGGCUGUGGGAGCGGAAAACAAGGUAACUGGAGAGGGAGUCAGAGGAGUUGUCAGACAGGACUCUGAUGUUGUCUGGAAAGAUGAAUGUAAGCUCAUCCAGUAGGGAGUGGGUUGGGGGCAAAUCCCCUUAGAUAUUAAGAACUUUGGCUUUAAGAACAUAUACAACCCUGGUGCAAAGGUAAGCAGCUUUAACUCUAGAAAGAACAUGUUGGAGAGAAGAGCUUUCUUCUAAUUAAGAGACUCAGAAACAGUGAUAUCUAAAUAAAGUGCUAGUUGCUCUUUCUCCAGCCUUAUUUUAUGGUUGCUAAAGAAAUUUGAUCUGUGCCUGUGAUACCCAAGAUCUGCUUCCUUGGUAUAUAUUUUCUCUCUAAACUUUGAAUUCAUAUUUAUUUCAUAUGCUAAAUGCACACAGAAAGUCUUCUUAUUAUGAGCAUAAACAUUUCAUUUUAUGAUUCAUUUAACAAGCAUUCUGCACCAAUUUUGAGUUGGAGUUCUUAGUAUGUACUGAGGAAUCUUCAGAGAGGAAGCACAGUGCAGACAUCAGUCCAGUCCAGUCAGACCUUCCAUCUCAGCUGAAGAAGUAGUGUACAGAAUGCUGUGGGGACUCAGAAGGUAGCUCUCCCAUGUCCCUUGGAGACAGUAGGGGAUUUCUGGAUGAAGCUGCAUUUUAGCUGAGAAGGACAGGCUGAGCAGCAGUGUUCAGGACAGUUUAAUAAAAGUGUGGGUGCAAAGGUACUCUAGGAAAAGGAACCAGCUUUUCCUGUAUCAACUGUCCUUAGUGAGGAGAAAGCUGUGACCAUUGGUUGAAGUGUGAUGUGGGAACAAAAUGGGACCAGGAAGACAAAUAUAGUAAAAUAAAGCAGGUGAUCUCAGGGGUUUUGAUUUGUGGAAUCGUGUGAUGGAAGCUACAAGUCCCCUGACAACUCUGGGAAGAUGGGUUGCUUGAAAUCCAGAGAAGCCAAUAAGAGCUUUGCGGAGGGGGUGAAAUUUGCUUAGGGCUUGUAGAGUAUUUGGAAACACUGUAGGGACCUUGGGGAGCAAUGUGAGUUCCUACCCAGGGUUACAUGGGGAUGAUCUGAUUGUUGGUGAGUAAGAAAUAAGAUGUGUCUUUAGCAAAUGCACAUCUUUAAAAUGGCAGAAACUAAAGUUGGACAUGUCACUGGUGCUUCUUCUGAAAAGCUAAAAAUGCUGAGACAUAUUUAAGGCAAUAAGACUAAAAAGUGUAGCAGAAAAUAUAGCAACUGGGAGUUGGUAGGUUCAAGUACUGGUGAGUCUGUAGUGAAAUAUAUAAUGCUGGAUACAUCAGAGAGACCCUUGCCUAAGGAGCUACAGUGUAUAAAGUGAGGUCUGUUAAACUUCAUUAUCUAAAGGCUGUUUUCAGUUCUGUGUGGCUACAUGAAUUUAGGAAACAGGGACAUGUUGAAAUUUUUGGUGUAUUUUAUUGUGGUGUUAUUGCUAUUUGCCCUUAAGAGCAGUGUUAAGUUUAGGAAGCUGUGAUUUGGAACCCAAAGGCUUGAGUUCAAGUUUCCGCAGUAGUACUUGCUGACUUCGUGACUCAAGGCAGUAAUUUACUCCUCCUGUAAAGCUAGGAUAAUGUUUACCUGGCCUGCUACUCAAGGCUAUCUUGAGCCUCACACCUGAUGACUAUAUAAAAUAUUGUGUGUUCUAUAAAAUGCUACAGGAAAAAUUUUAAAAGAAGUAUAGUAGCAGACCAUGUGGCCAUCACGUGUAAUGAGAUAAUAGGUAUAUAAGUAGUCGCUGUGAGAAGAAAGUAACAAACAGCAAAGCAGACAUUUUGCAUGAAAUGUGGAUAGAAAAUAGUGACUUACCGCAUGAAGCUGAUGAAAAAGGGAUGAGGUGGAGAGGUGGGGAGAGUGACACUGGUAACUGGAGUGGGAUAUUAUCAAGAACAUUCCUCUAAAAUCCCUGUGCUGGACACUGUAGCAGGUCUUUUUUAAUGCAAAGGGAUAGUAUAAUAAAGUACGUUUUUAUAGUCUAGCUCAGAAGCCAAAAUGAAAAUAUGAUUUGUGAGCUUCAAGAAGCAUAAGGGGAGAAGACAGGACUUAGGAAGAUAUUUGGCUUUCUGUAUUCCCCAAUAACAUCUCCAUAGCAAACAUCUCAGGUGAUGAACAAGACUGGAGAGGGAAAAAAAAGGUGGGCUAUAAAGCAGUCAACAUUUAUCAGCCCAUUUCUUGUUGCCUUGGGAAUAAAGCCAGAAAACUACAAACACAAAGGGGACAUUUCUAGAAAGUGCAAUGAGCUCUGACUAGAAGAUGCUGAGAUGUGUCUCUGCUCCAGGUUCCUGCAGUUGCUACCAUAAAGGGAGCAGCUGAGACUCGGCGCUCCGUACUGCAGUUUCGUUCCUCAGGAGUUCCUCCUGUCCUGAUGCACAGCUGAAGGAAUGCAGACCUGGGGAGAUUGUAUUUUAUGGGUUGCUAUGGAACUGUCUAAAUAUUAUGAACAAUGCAAUAGUAUAUGUCACACAGCGGUAGAUUGCCAUGAAAUUAAGGCAGCUAGAAAUCAUCUGCACAUCCCUGAAAUGUAAGCGUAAAGUGUAAAAGAAUGGUAUGUGUGUUUGUGAUAAACGAAUUUUCCCCUGUUGCACUAAGUGAAAUACUACAUGGAGAUGGGAAGUCAAAUUUCCAAGGAACGUUAGUCAGGGAGAGGCCUGUGGACCCUAACAAGGGGAUGCACAAGCAGGCUCGGACAGGCCUAAUCAGGGGAGGAAGGAUGAAGAUCUCGGUGGCUUCAGAGAUCUGACAUGUAACAUCAGCACUGCAAAGAGAACUGCUUUAAAAUCUCUCCCUGAAGUUGUGGCUCAGGUGAACAAGGUAACAAAGGUCCGGGUUCCAGCAAGUCACCCAGAUGGAAACAGGGCCCUCUUGCAAUCUGUGCUUUGUGCUGCAAGACUCCUCUCUCAGCUCUUCAGGGUUUGCUGUUGGAUCCUUUCUCGGAUUCCAGUAAUGGUUUAGGAAACUUAGAAUUUUACAUCAGAAAUGGCCCACCAGAAAGUAGGCCUCCCCACUUAGACUAAGGUAAGCUUCAUCAGAAUAAGAAAUACAGCUCUCAGUGCAUACCUUUUGAAUAACAGUUCUGUGAAUGCUGUUUUCUUCUGGGGAUCAUGCCAAAGCCAGCUUCCUCUCUGAAUGAGCGUUUCUGACCUAUGAAUUCAAAAUACAACAAGCCUACGUCACAAGCUGUGCAGAGAGAGCAGGAGCCAAGUGCAGCUGGGGCUUUGUGGCUUUGCUUGUUUCCUUUUCUUUUUUCUCCUCUUCUUCGGACAGCUGUUACUGAAUACUUACUUUUUAAAGGGAAAAACAUUUCUCAAAAAUCUGUUUUGCUUCACCAAACAAUUCAAAUGUAAAACAUAGUAAAACUAAAAGGGGUAGGGUUUUACUCUGAAGAAUAUAGGUACAGCCACCUUCUCUGAACAUCUGGUAAAGUUCACUGACAGUGGAAAGCACCCACUUCCUGAUGCUUCUCUGUCUUAUCUCGCCUGCUUGUGAGAGGAAGAUUGCCUUCUUUCUUUCCUUUUUGGUUCCUUGUUAAAGCAGCAUGAAAAUACAUUUUUCAAAAACAUCUUUCUUACUUACAGCAGUUUCUUUUAUAUGAUGUUCUACAGCCUGGAUGCUCUUGUGUAGCAUAUUCCUGUAAGAGGCUGAGAGGUUUAGAAAAAAUAUCAUCAGCAGGGCACCUCCACGUCUCUGCUUGUGAGCCCAGCUUCCUGCUGGCGAGCACUCUCAGAGGCACUGGUGACGGCUCCAGUGGCUCCCUGCCACUCAUGUGGGAGGCUUGGACCAGACCCCAGCUUCUGGCAUCAGCCUGGCAUAGUCACAGUUGUUACAGAAAUCUUGGGGAAUGAACCAGUGGAUGGAGGAUUUCUCUCUCUGUCUCUAUGCCUUUCAAAUUUAAAUAACGUAAGUAUUUAUUUGAAUAAAAUUGAAUGGAGCAUUGUCUCAGUUCUUAUUUUUUUUUUAGGUCCCCUACAAUGGAAGAAAGUCAGCAAAACAGGGUCAAAGUCCAACUACAGUCAAGAGCUAAUGUAACAGAAUAAAAGAACUAAUCAAAUUCCAUGACAUUCUUGGUGUUAUAUCAAAUAUUGUUAGAAAUUAUUGGCAUGUUCAUCUAGUGUUGAAAAUAAGUUUGUUUUAAAUAUUUUUAUUUUAAGAAGUGCUUUAUGUGCAUGAAGUCUGUACAAUUUUAAUUUUUUAAAGCAACAAGCAAGAGAUAGGAAUAUAAUAAACAACAAAUAUGAAAAACUAAAAGCUUGAUUUUAUUUAUGAUCCAGUCAGAAGUUUCUUUUUUUAAAAAAUUCACUCAUUUAUUUAUUUUUUUGACAGGCAGAGUUAGACAGUGAGAGAGAGAGAGAAAGAGAGAAAGGUCUUCCUUCCAUUGGUUCAACCCCCAAAUGGCCGCUACGGCUGGCGUGCUGCACUGAUCUGAAGCCAAGAGGCAGGUACUUCCUCCUGGUCUCCCAUGUGGGUGCAGGGCCCAAGGACUUGGGCCAUCCUCCACUGCCUUCCCGGGCCACAGCAGAGAGCUGGACUGGAAGAGGAGCAACUGGGACAGAAUCCGGCGCCCUAACCGGGAUUAGAACCCGGGGUGCCGUUGCUGCAGGCAGAGGAUUAGCCAAGUGAGCCGUGGCGCUGGCCUCAGUCAGAAGUUUCUAACCAUCGCUUUCCCCUUAUAAAUUAGAAAUCUGAGCAAACAAAACAAAGCUUUUUAGUUGUCAUGAAAGAUAAUUUUAUUAAAACAUGUUAGUGGUAUAAUUGUUCUCAAAGGUAAGCUGUUAUCAGUUAACAGAUUAAAAACCAAAAGGACUCUGGGUAUAGUUCUGUGGUCUUCCUGCUGCUGCCCAACUGUGAGACACAUUCUACUGAGUGGACUAAAAUCUCCUGAUUCUAGCUAUUUCUAGGUUGCUGAAUUUCUGAAGAAGGAAGUGGAUUAGUCAACUGUAUCAUCUUUGAGUGUCGUGAAUAUGACAGAGAGGUAAGAGUAAGAACUGAAGAAGUAACCUCAGAACUAGAUUACUAAAUUCAAAACCAAGGUGUACUCGAAUUGGGUCUUAUCCCUGGGUCACCCAAUAGAAUGCGCUUGUACAAAUAUGAGUGCUGGUACGUGGUUCCUGACUGGAUGUGUGACAGCCAUUCCGGAGUUGGUAAAUGGACUCUAUGACACUGAUUUGUUGAGAUGGAAGGUUUAACUGGCCCUGAGCGUGUUCAGAUUAAGAGGUGAGCUAGCUGACAGCUGCCUUGUCUACCUGUCUGUGUCACAGUACCUAUGUAGUAAAUCAAAAUGAAGUGCCUGUUAUUCAAAUCCCCAAAGCACCUCUUUCAAAAUUGACAAGGUUUUUUUUGCCUUACUCCUUUAGGAGGUAGUGCCCAAGAAUAAAAAUGGAACAAAUCCUCACUGACACUGACCCAUUUAGGUUAAGUGGUGACAUAGAUGUGGAUGUCAUGCAGUGCACAAAAGGCCAACCCAUCAGCUCAGAAAGUCAUCAGCUGAGAGUCACUCUCAGGCUGCAAGCUGGUAGAUGGGUCAGUGCCCUGAAAUUCUGCAGGUGGACAAUACAUGAGGUAGCAAUGUUUACUGGGGAAAGGGCUUCACCAUCUGUGUUGUUCAGUACAUGCCAAGAAGUUGAAUGUUCCAAGAAAUUAGUGAGGGAAGCAGAAAGAAAACAUGACUUCAGAAAAGUGGGAAAUAAUUUUGAACUUGAAAACAAGAGGAUUUCAAAAGAGUGAACAUGUGGUAGUAGACUUAAUAUAAAUAUUUUUAAUAUAAAAUGGCAAAUAAUCUACACAAUUAAAAAUUGAUUUCUUAGAGCCUUGUUAAAUCAGUAUUGAACAAGAUAUUUAAAAGAACGUAUUCACUUGAAGAAAUGGCUAAGUUAUGAGCCUAAUGAUGCUUUUGCAUUGCUUCCCUCAGACCUGGUCCUAAUACUGACUCCUGGUCUUUGCCCUGAAUUCAUAUCCAUGUUUAUCACGUGGCUUCACUGAUAAAAAUAUCCGUCUAAUAGCUCAGCAUUACCUAAGGUAGUUGCUAGUUUCACUGUAAACUGCAUUCGCAGCCUUAGUCCUCACUCUUCCCCCUAAGAUACCUCUCCUACAGUCAAAUGGGCCUGAUCCUGUUUCCUCAACUUCCCUAAAGCUCUCCUCCUCUAUUGUUUCCAUUGCUUCCUCCCAUUUCUCCUGUAUACAUCCCUUAUCGUUCCGUUUUAUCCAAAUUUGACCCUUUUCCAAGGCUCACAUCAAGCAUAAUUUCUCUCAGAAUUGCUGUAAUUUAUAGUUACUGCUACCUGACUGCACACAUGUCUCUGAUUAUCAACACCAGCCAUUUGGUAAUGUAUUGUGGGCAGCCUACUUUUGCUAAUUCUUUUUUCACAUAAUUAAAGGUUAAUUUUCCAAUUGGACUACAUAUUCCCUAAGGAUCAGAAACAUAUUUUAACCAUGUUUUCAUUUCUGCAGCAUCUAAAAUAAUGCCUUGCCAAUAAAAUACUAAGUAUUCAGAAGUAAACAUUUAAAUAAAAAUUAAUUUAAAUAAAAUUACUGAAUCAUUUUCACCUUUUAUAUGAGGGACAUUCAAAAAGUUCAUGGAAAAACAGAAUUAAAAGAUGCAGUUGUUUUAGUGCAAGGCAUUUUGAAAUCCAUGGAUACAAGGGCUCUUCAAAAGUUUCCUGGUAGAUGUGUAUUAUGAAAGAAUUAUGUGUGGGUUUCAAAAGUUCUUUGUGCCAAAAUAAAUUAAUCUUUUAAUUCCAUUUUCCUGUGAACUUCCUGAAGUACCCUUGUAACUUUUGUAAUCAGAUGCUGAGAGAAUUCGAGAAUUCGUUCAUUUAAGCCCAGCUUCUUCCAUCUUUGACUGUUUUAAAUUUUAACAGAUUUGAUACUCAAAAUAGCUAACAGAAACGUCCUGAAUUCAUGCGGUUGACCUGCGUUCCUUUUGCUCAAGUAUUUUGUGUGAGUUUUGUAUUUUGCAUCAAGACAAGCAAAAGACUGCUGAAAUGAGUAAUCCCGAGCUUCACUGGUUAGUCAGUCUUCUUGUUCCGGAAGCAGCGACUUCCACACGGCUCAUUUACAUCUGCAUGCUGCAAAAGGAGUCGUGGGCAAGAUGUCUGCAGACUCUGUUCAACAUGCAUGUCCCACGUAACCACAUGGUCCUUAUAAAACCACCUAUAUCCGUUCUCAUACAGAAUGUCUAGCCAUAGUGUUAAUCAUUACUGACAGCUGCACUUUUUGAAAAAAUAAUGCUUCUAACCUCUUUGUGGCAGAGUGAGAUGUGGUGGAUUGUAAGUAAAGCAAAUGCCACUUUAAAGGUAAACAUACCCAAGAUAACUUUUAAGUACCAUCAAAAAGAGUGAUUUGGUUAGAUAGCCAUGUCCUACUCUAGACUUGGAGUUCUCUCCAGGUGGGGUCUGUUUGUUAUUUCUUUGUUCAUCAUCUCCAGCACAGGGCCUGGAAGACUGCAGGUGCACAGUGAAUGUUUAGUGGAUGGAUGUUUAAAAAGAAAUAGAGGAAUCAAGGGCAUCUGUCUGAAAGGUGAAGCAAAUUAACAGCAAUCCUACAACCAAUGAAUCAAAUGACAAAUGUUCACUAAGCACUUAUUUAUGAGCCCUGAACUUCAAAGAGUGUGAAGCAAAAUCUGAUAGAGCAGCCUCAUCAAGACUUAGUUUUCAUUCAAAUUAAAGUGAAAAUAAGAUAAAAGUGGUGGGAAGCAAUGAGUUCCCUCUACUUUUCCCUGACUCCUUUGCUGAGUGCAGACCUUGCAUGGAUAUUCCUGGAUUAGGAAAUGCUUGUUUCCCACACUCUCUGUGUUGCCACCAAAGGUACAAGCUGUUGAUUGGUUUAACCUCUUUCAUGUUUAAAAAUUGAAAACUUUUACAUUAAUACCCAGAUUUCAGUCUGUUCUUGAAAAAUAUAUAGAGACAGUGAAUCAGCAUUUCUACAUAACAAUAAUUGUCUGUAACUGAAUGGUUGCUGCAACCAUUAAACAGGGCCUGUGAGUGAUAUUUCAGGACUCCACUGUUUACAUUUUUUGAGGCACAGAGUGCUAACUAUCCAAUCAUCACUGAGAUACUGGGUAAUGAAUUCUUGAUUAAGUUCUGAGUGGGACGGGAUAUAGGAAGUGGGCAGCACAUUAACAGUUUUUAAUUUAGCUAUACACCUUAGCUUAUCUUUGGUGGAAAAGUUGUUAAAUUUGAGAUAUUUUUUUAGUGCCUUUGUCUUUGCUUAGCUGUGUUUAUAUAACACUUUGUAUCUUAUUCUCUUCAUUUGUUAAAUGAGGUCAGUGGAUGGUUAUGAAAGUCGCUUUGAGCUUUGCCAUUUUCUGAUUCUUUAGUUAACUAUCCAACAGUAGGGGAUUGUGAAACAGAAACAGUAUCUGUAGGGAGAGGGAAGGGAGAAGAGGGAGGAGAACUUAGAGGAAGCAAACUGACAUUGAUUUAGUCUCAACUUCCUAGCUAUAUUUUUAUAUUGUCAUUUUUAACUUUCACCAACACAUGAGAUAGUUUUAUUGUCCUCGUUAAUAAGUGAAAAACAAGGGUUUAGAGUUCAUCCACACAUUGGAGAGUCUUUGAUCCUGAAUAUAGACACUUCUGUCUGUUGAUAUGUAUGCCUUUCCUUCCAUAGGAAAUUGAAGUAGUGAUGCAGUAGCGUUACAUAAAUACUGAAUCAUAGGAUUCAAUUCAGAGUACUGUGGAAUUUUAAAUUAUAUCACAAAUAUAAAGCACCUGGUAUGAAACAGUAUGUAACAGGUGCUUAAUAAAUGUACAUCUCAUUCCUUUUGCAUUGCCUUAAAAAUCACCGCAUUCAUAUAUUGACCAAGUGAAUUCACAGCCUUGAAGGCUUAGUAGUUGAAACAGUUAAUGACAAUAAAAUAUCAAUUCUUUUUAAGUAGACAAAUAUGUAUCUAUGUAUCUAUAAUCAUACAUAUGUUUAUAGACAUAUAUGCCCUUGAGUUUUAAGAUUUAGGUAUUAUAAAACCACUCACAUCUGUUUUUAUACUCUAUGUUUAUCCAUUAUAUUGAUAAUCAUUUAAUUCAUUCAACUAAUAUACAGUCAUUUGAUUCAUUCAAGUAAUAUACAGUCACUGACCAGAAUCAAUGUAGCACAUUAUGUGUAUCAAUAAGAAUCACCGUAACAAAGAGAAUGUAAGGUAACUCUUGGCAUAGAGCUUACUAAAUGUAUUUAUAAAGGGCAAUCAAAUAAAUCUCUGGUUUCCAAGGUGCUAAUGUAGGCUGUAAUAAUAAACUUUUCUGUUUGUGGAAACCAAGAAUGUCCUUAAGAAUCCUGAAGAAGAAAAAAAAAUUGUUUUUGUAAGCUCACCAAUUCUAAACUGUUGCCAGAUAUAAUUAAAUCCCAUAACACUGGCCCAAACCCUUUCAUUUGGAACUGUUUUUGAGGUCAUAAGCCAUAUACUUUGCUUUGCACUGUGACUGUGUAGCCAAAGUGAAUUCAGUAUUGAUUUAAAAAUAAAGUUUGCUAGUUAGUGUUAAUGAGAAAUUUGAGUUAAUGAUGGGUGGGUACUAGGGUGAAAUGAGACGGCAAGGACCAGGAAGAGAAGAGGGUUUCUUUGAUUAGUGUGAUGUAGCGUCUGUGACUCAGUGUUUCCAUCCUGAAAGGAGCCUUAAACAGCCCUGAUAGUCUUGCUAUCUGCUUCCUGUGGAGCCAGUGGCAGGAUGGAGACCAGCCAAGGCUCAUCUCAUACAGACAGCCUAUGCAGAGUCAAUGCAGAGACAAGAGGCUUCUUGUCUCUAUUGCAUGACGCUAAACUUCUCUGGAGGUGUGUUCAAAUCAUAUGAAGAAGGAGUUUUAAGAUUUUGAAGAAAAAAGCAUCAACAAAAUGGAUUUCUUCCUAGAAUUUGAAGUAAUUUAAGUUUAGAUAGCAACUAUUUGAUAAUACUUUUCCUGAAUGUCUGUGCAUUAAUAUCUAGGGGAAAAUACAUUUUGUUAUUUUUGUGUGUUUCAUUUAAGUUGAAACAAAGGUGAAGCUAUCCCUCCCUUUCCUCCUCCCUCCAUCCCUUUCUCCCUCUUCCUCCUUUCCUCUCUCUCUCUAUUUUCUCACUCUCACUUUUGGAGCUCUGUGAUCAAUGCAAAUUGUCUCCUUCCCCUGCCCCUCUACACCUGCACAGACUUCUUUUCUUAUCUUUUUUUUUUUUUUGAAAAUGUGUAUGCUAGAUGAACUAGAGAGCUUAGAGUAUUUUACUAUGCAGACAAAAGUUAUUUCUCACAUGCUAUAAAUAUCAUAAGGCUUUUGAACUAAUUCUUUACUCCUAUAAUUUCUGUAACUUUAUUCUGCAAGCCUGAUAUAGACAAGACAUGAAAUUGAAGACUUGAAAAUUAAAAAUUUAAAAGUUUAAUGUAAAUAAUGCCAACAAAUUAAAAAAUCAGAGAAUUUUAAUUUUGAAUUGUUAGAUUCAUUCUCCUCCACACCAACAGCUGUGACAAGGUUUGAUUGCUGUCGGUUCUGCCAUUCAGAAGUGUUCUGGGACAGAGAAAAAUGGCAUGUUUCUCAAGUUCAGAUAAGAGAGUUGAUCUUGACCCAGGUAGGCACACUGAAUUUGGUGGAGUGAAGGCUAUGGUGUCUCUUUGUGGAUUAAGCAUUAAGAAGUUCUCCCCAUCGCCCCCAUUCUUACUCAAAUAGAAUGGAAGUUGAGAAGGUAGGAAUGUAGAAGAUUAAUGUUCUCACUGUGCGAAUGAUGAGAUUUUACUUAAAAUAGUGGCUUACAGCCAUGUAGUAUGGGAUAAGGCAGAUCCUGGCACACCUCGGGGGCUGUGAGUGUCUUGGCAUUGCAAGCAUCCAGGUUAUGGUGCCUCCCCUGGUCCUCUGCAGCUUGGGAAAUGAAGGAAGUACAGGAUUUUCCCUCCUUUUCACAGUGGGUGGUUCUUGAGGAGGAGCAGCAGGAUACUCAGAAUCAGAGACAAGUAAGUAUUUUCUUGACGCAUCAGUCCAUGGGAGAGGCAGGUUUCUAUGCUAGGUCAAGAGCUCGAAAAGGGGUGCCGAAGUAAUACAGGCAAAUCAGACGCAAGAAGGGAACACCGGUCUGUUGAGACGUCAUGUGUGUCAGACACUGUGCUAUUAUCCCAGUGUUUUAUUUAAUUCUCACAUAAGGAAUUUGAGGAAUGGGAUACGGAAACGAAGACCCUGCGAGAUAUUAAGAAUAUGUCUGAGGUUACACAGCACCGUCAGGUUUUGGAUCAGAGCUUGUCCACCCCUCAGGCCUGCACUUUCCUCUUCCACUGCCCUGAGGAGCAGGCUGCAGGACGAGCUGAAAGGCAAAGUCUUUGCAAGUCCUCAGCUCGCCUUGUUAAAAUCAGGCAAGCAAACAGAUCUUGUUUGUGUUGUUUCACUUUGUGUGAUGGUGUGCUUAUAAAGAGAGAAGGGGGAAUGGCCUUUUCAGUCUGUCUUUUGCUUUUGCGAGACAUUCUUAGAAAAGAGUAUCUGGGAAUGUUCAGAAAGUUCUGGAAUAAUAUGCUACCGCAGGUAUAGCUUUGCUACCUUGGCCUCAUGAAGGAUGCCUGGGUUCAUUCUAUACACACACACACACACACACACACAAACUUGCAUGCAUGAACAUCAAUAUAUUUUUUGCAAACUAAACAUAUAAUUCCAUUUUCCACAAGCUUUUUGAAGUACUCUGUGUGCAUAAGUUAUAUUAUUAUGUUAUAUAAAAUUGUUAUUUAGUAAUCUUACUUUCUAAGUAUCUUAAUCAAAAACCCUAAAUAGAGGAUCCUGUUUUGAAUAGUAGCUAAACAAGAUGAUUUUAGGGAGAGUUUAUUUAGUUAUUUGGUUUUUUUUUUUUAAAGAUUUAUUUUAUUUAUUUGAAAGACAGAGUUACAGAGAGGUAGAGACAGAGAGAGAGAGGUCUUCCAUCCGCUGGUUCACUCCCCAGAUGGCUGCAAUGGCUGGAGCUGCGCCGAUCUGAAGCCAGGAUGAAAUUGGAGAAGACCCCCUAAAAUUCACACUAAAAUGUGGCCCCUUAAAGUUCCCUAGAAAUGCUAUCCGGGGUGCCACAUGGGCUACCAGAAUUUGGGGUGCCUUAUCAUUCCACCACGGGCUUAUUACUAAAUCCCCGAUAUUAAUAAGCCCAAGAGGGUUCUUGCCUAAUAUUUAGAGAAGAAUUCUAAAUACCAGCACAGAUAAACAAGGCAGCAUGGUACGUUUUAAGCUUUUAUUUAGUGAGAAAGAUGCAUAGGAGAGUGAGAGCUUAUUUAGGAGAGAGAGAGGUGAAUAGGGGUUCAUACCAAGCACUAGGAACCAGCCACGUGGAAGAGCAACUAGGCCUGUAUCUGGGCCAGGAAGCCUAGAGCACAUGGCCUUUGGGCCUCCUGACAAGAGGCCAGGGAAGAAGAGCGGGCCGGGCAACACUGUGUCCUGGCUUUAAACCCACUUCCAAAGGGGAGUGGUUAAUUAACCUGAUUAAUUAACCCAGGUGUGGCCAAGUAGGGGGAUGAGGCCACACAGGGCCGUGGCGAAGGUAUCAGGUAGGGGCAUGAGGUCACACAGGGGCGUGGCGAAGACGUGAUCUUCCAGCUCACAAACCUAAUCAAUUUUAACCUGUAUGCCUGCCUACAUCAAGGAGACAGGAGUCUCUUCCAGGUCUCCCACCCAGGUGCAGGGGCCCAAGGAGUUGGGCCAUCUUCCACUGCUUUCACAGGCCAUAGCAGAGAGCUGGAUUGGAAGAGGAGCAGCCGGGACUAGAACUAGCACCCAUAUGGGAUGCCGGAGUUUUAGGCCAGAGCUUUAACCCACUGUGCCACAGUGCCACCCUAUUUAGUUAUUUGAAAGGCGGAGUUAGAGUAAGGGAGGGAGGGAGAGAGAGAUCCAGAGAGAGAGAGAGAGAGGGAGAUCGAGAGAGAUCUUCUAUCCUCUGGUUCACUCCCCAAAUGGCUACAGCAGCAGGGACUGGGUGAGCCAGGAGCUUCUUCUGGGUCUCUCAUAUGGGUGGCAAGGGCUCAAGCAGUUGGGCCAUAUGGGAUGCCAGCAUCACAAGAGGUGGCUUAAUCCACUAAGCCACAACACUAGCCCCUUGAAAAUAGUUCAGAGCAAAUCUUUUCAAACCCAGUGUUCCUAAGAAACAGGGUUAGGGUUGUUAAAACACAGAUUUCUGGGCCCUGCUCCUGAGAUCCUGGCUUAGUAAGUCUGGAGUGGCAUCAGAGAUUCCCACUUCCAUCUUGCCUCCAUAUGUACUGAUGAACCAGGAACCACACUUGUGAUAGGCAUGGCUGAGAAAUGGAGCAGGACACGGAUGACUAGGGACUGUUUAAGAAAAUUUUUUCUCUGGUAUCAUCCCUUUUCAGCUAUAGGCUAAUUUCCUGUCUCACUUCAAUUCAGUGAGUAUUUUUGAGCAUCAUUUUGUCCUAAACAGUAUCACACAUUGUGGAUGAAAUUUAAUCUUAAUGCCUUGAAGGAAGUGGAUUCUAAAUAUUUUUGAUUGUUCUACACUGAUGGGUUUUUAAAACUUUUUAUCUUAUUUUAUGUUUUCCAAGAUAAUUAAAAUAUUGAAAUGUUAAAGUGGAUGACUAUCUAAUUAAUAAAAAGAGUAAAUAUAAACCUAAUAUGACAUGAAAAGGAUUUGUCAGGGAUGUUCGUGCUCUUGCUCAAGUAAGUACCACAAAACAAUGUUUUUCUGGAAAUGAAAAGCAGUCAUUGAAGAAUAAGCUACCACUGGUAGGGGAAAAAGAGCCAAACAAAAGAAAAAGGUGACACCAAAAUGCAGCUUUACAGGGCUCGUAGCUGACAUGCCAAUGCUAUCAAUACAGUUGUUUGACAUUUAUUUGAAUUGACCAGGUCUGUUAGGUUCUUUCUCUGGAUAACUCUUUUCAACUACUAAAGUGUUUACAAAUGAAAAAAGGCCACUGAAGUAAAUGAUGCCUUCAGGGCUUCGAAAGAGUUGGGCUAAUGUCGCGAGAUGCACGAUGAGUUCCAUGUGAAACUCGAUGCUCAAACCUAUUAUUACUGUGGCUGUUGCUACACUGAGUCUUUAAAAAGUGAGGAAGGUAGACCAUGAGAAAAAUAGCAUGAGCCAUACUGUUAGCUAAAUGAAAGAAGUAUGGUUUGGCUGGAUUACCUUUGACUUGAGUAAAACUCCACUUGACCCCACACAAAGAAGAUAGCAACUGGCUCCAUAAGGCACCUGUGUAAAUGUAAAUAUAGGGAUAUGUCUUUGUCAUCAUUGGGACCGAUGGCAGAGCAAGGAAGCAGACUUGUCCUGCUAGUGUCAUGUGUGGUGCUGGCUUAGGGUCAUCAGACAGGUAGCUGAUAGUGCUUAGGGGCCUUUGUGGAAUUACUGCUGCUUCUUAAAGCUGCGUGGGGAUGGAUGAUAGCAUGGUGCUUUGCUAAUAUACACUGCAAAUGAUGAAACAAAACAAGGCCUUGGAAACAAAGAGGGUUAAGUUCUAUUGAAGAGAUGAUUUGAGAGAAAGUUAUUCUCCUGCCGGUUCCUACUCUCAUUGUGAAAGGGUACGUUAGCAUCUGAAUGCAUCAGAACAGGAUUUUUGUCUGUUUUAGUGCUAUUGCCCAGCUAGGGCAGUUCUUGCAGCAAAAAGCAGUCAAAUAUUUGGGGAAUAACCAACCUUUGAAGAUGCUUGAGAAAGCUUCUGGAUGAAGUGAAGCACCCUGGGUGCUGUCGAAGGUCUCGUUCUGGAGGAUGCCAGGCAGUUCUUAUCAAUAUAUUUUUACAGCUAAGUGGAAAGGCUGAAUCAAAAGCACGUUGCUGCCAUCUUCACACAUGAUGUGGAACAGCCAUAGAGAGUUGUAAAACAAGCACAUCUUGACCAUAGCAUAAAAGAAGGCCCAAAUAUUGAAAGAUAAUCUAGUACAACUGUCGCUCCCCCUCUUCGCGGAGGAACGACACUAAACCCUGCCUAGGCUUCAUAUCCGAGUCACGGCACCAUUAUGUCGCUCCCCCUCUUCGUGGAGGAACGACACAGGACCCUGCGCUGUUCUUUUGUCUGCUCGGCCCUCCCCGGGUUUGCUGCUGGUUCUUCCCGGGUUGGCUACCGUCCCUUCCACCUCCGUGGAAGGGCGGUUCCCCCUAGCCACUUUCGCGGGAGAGCGGCACACCGCCGGCCGGCUCUCUCGGGGGCUGCACAGGUGUUAUUCAGAUAGAUGUUCCUGGUGCAUGUUGUCUCUCUCCUCCUUUAUAGUCCUCUUCCACCAAUCCCAACUCUGCUACCCACACGCCGAGUACGCUGCUCUCCUCCAAUCAGGAGUAGGUCCUACAGUUUAUUGGUUGAACUGGAGGCAGCUGUGUAGAAGCUGUUUCUCCCUUCUCAGCGCCAUAUUGUGGGAGAGCAGAUGCAUAGAAUAAAUCUUAAUUCCAGUAACUUAGUCUAGUCCGAGUUGCUCCCCACAUACAACUUUAUUUAUGGAUGAAGCAACAUCCCAAAGAAAUAACCUGUCCAGGUUCACGCAAGUAAUUGUGGACAUGGCCUGGAUUCUAAUUCUGUAUUUGUUGUAAACAACUCAGAAGAAAAUAUGUGCUGGAUUAAAAAUAAUGCUUUUUUCCCCUGGGAAACACUGCUGAGGCUUACCUUUUCCUGUCCCUCCUUUUAGAAGCUCUGGUUCUCUCACAUAUGAAUCAUCACAUUAGUUUCUGACUGUUCCUCUUACCGGGUCUCUCCUGACUGAAGCUCAUCCUGUGCUGGGUGCCGAGAAUAACCUUGAAUUACUUUCUUCCUGCCGAGCUCAUCUUAGUUCCCCACUCCCUCCUGAUUAUAAUUGAAGCAUUUUUGUCUAUCUCUUGAGGACUUCUGAAGUCUGCUUCCAGUUUGCAGUCUCUGCUAUUUCUCUUUCUGAACCUGACAUGAACCUUCAGUUCCAGAUGAGCCAUUCUCACUUGCUCACCAAAACCUGCAAAUUCCUGCCCUUCAUUCCUGUGGAUUCACUCACUGGGGAUGUCUUCUCUGUCCCCCUCUAUAUAGGCAGUCAGAACAGAGUGCUGGGUUAGAGAGUGGGCUCUAAUGAAAGGCAGGUCAUAAUGAAUUCUCAGCUAUGGCCCUUGGACUUACUGAGCUUUUCCAGUCUUUCUUUGGUGUUCUCCUAUGGGAAAUGGGCAGGAACAGCAGUUUACCACGGGUGUGUGGUAGCGAUUAAAUUAGACAAUGCACACGAAGUACCUUGCCUUGUACCUGGCACAUAAUGAAAACAAUGAAUGCCAGCAAUUACUGUUUUUAUCCAAAUGCUAUUAUCAUUCACAAUAAUCUCACCUUGCUUGAUUUGCUUCUUCCAAAUUUCUCCUAAAAAAAAGUUUUUUUUUUUUUUAUUUGAAAGGCAGAGUUACAGAGAGAGAAAGGGAGAGACAGAGAGAGCUUUCAUUCAGUGGUUCACUUUCCAAAUGGCUGCAAUGGCUGUGACUGGUCCGGGCCAAAGCCAGGAGCCAGGGCGCUCAUCUGGCUCUCCCAUGUGGGUGGCAGGGCCCCAAACACAUGGCCUAUCUUCCACUGCUUUUCUGGGCGCAUUAGCAGGGAGCUGGAUUGGAAGUGGAAGAGCCAGAACUCAAAUUGACUCCCAUAAGGGAUGCUGGUGCUGCAGGCAUCCACUUAACCUGCUCUGCCGUAGUGCCAAUCCCCCAAAUGCCUCUUAGCUUUAUAACCUCAAUAUUAUUUAGUACGUAAAGAUUUAUUUUUCUUUUUAGAAAAUAUUUUUAAAAUUCUUCCGGACUUUUUCUCCUAACUGGACAGUAAAAAAAAAAAAAAAUGACAAUUGAGUCAAGAAUUCAAAUACUUCCUGCAACAUUCUUUUGUACCACCCUGGUCCAGGCCACCAUCAUCUCUCACCUGUUGUAAUGAUGGUGUCACCAAGGACCUUGCAGCCCACCAAGUAGGAUUAUCUUUCAUCAUAAGCAGACAGUUUCACUUCUGUGGUCACAACUUCUAGACUUCUCACCUCUUUAAGGGUGAAGACAAAGCCGUUACCAGGGCUUGCAGGAUUAUGCACCUGUGCCACCUUACCUCUGUGAGCUUGACCCCCUCACUUUGCUCUCUCCCUCCUGUAGGCCCAGUGCUUACAUUCUGUUUCCCAAGGCACUUUCGCCUCUGAGCUGCUACUUAUGUUGCUCCUGCUGCCUGGAAUGCUGUUUCUCCAAAUAUUUACAUGGCUUCUUUCCCCAGCUUUCAGGUCUUUGUUCAAAUGCCACCCUGCCUUUCACUGUGUAACUAGAAAUUAUCUCUUAACUCCUGCUACUCCAGAAUGUGCUAUAUUUGAAGAUAAUAAUUAAAAAGGUAAUUAAGUUAAAUUGAUCAUUAGAGUGUAUGCUAAUUCCAUACUGAUUGCUGCCCUUAUAAGAAGAAGAAAUUUGGAGAACACACCCACGUAAAGAACACCAUGUGCAUGCACACGACCGUUUGCACACGCAGUUCUCUAAAGCAGUUACAGCAGUCCUUCCUCAUCUAUGGCUUUGUGUUUUGCAGUUUUGGUUAACCAUGAUCAGUUCUGGUCUGAAAGUAUUCAAUAGAAAAUUCUUGAGGUAAACAAUUCAUGAGUUUUAAGUUGCACACUAUUCUCAAUACUGUGAAAAAAAAAUCAUAUGCUGUCCUUCUCUGCCUCACCCAGGACAUAAAUCUUCCUUUUGUCCAGUGUAUCUGCAUUGCAUGCACUACCCGCCUGUGGUCACUUUGUAAUCAGACUGACUAUUGGGUUGUAACAGUGCUUCUGUUCAAAUAGCCCUUAUUUCACUUCUAGAUGACCCCAAAUCUUUUUGUUUUGUUUUGUUUUAAAGAAUUAUUUAUUUUAUUUGAAAGUCAGAGUACCCAGAGAGAGAAGGAGAGGGAGAGAGAGAGAGAAAGAGAAAGAGGGAGGGAGAGAGGGAGAGAGGGAGAGAGGGGGAGAGGGGGGAAAGAGGGAGGGAGAGAGAGAGAGAGAGAGAGCGAGCGAGCUUCUUUUGGGUCUCCCAUGUGCAUGUAGGGGCCCAAGAACUUGGGCCAUCUUCUGCUGCUUUCCCAGGCCAUAGCGGAGAGCUGUAUCAGAAUUGGAAUAGCCGUGACUCGAAUCGGCACCCAUGUGGGAUGCCGGCACUGCAGGCGGCAGCUUUACCUGCUGUGCCACAGUGCCAGCUGACCCCAAAUCUGAAAAGUAGCUAACAUGCCUGUGUAAUUUAUAAAAGUUUACAUGUAGAUAAUAUUGUACCGCUUUAUAUGGAAUGUUAAAACUUUUGUUCAAAAGUAUUUUUUGUUUUAUAAUCAUAGUAAAUAUUUUGAUUGCAUUUCUAUGUUCUUAUGCUCUCUGAAAUGCCAAAAGUUGAAAAAAAUCUAAAUAUCCAAAACAACUGGGCUAAAUUUUUGACAAUCUGUUAACAGCCCAUCCAUUCCCUAGGUAAAAAUUAUCAAUAGAACUUAUGCAGAUAUUCACAUAGUUUUCCAUGAUGAACUGAAAUGAAAAUAUUUUUAAAAUAAGUAUUUUUGGAUAAAAUUAUUCUAGUAGCAUUGUCUAAGUAAUCAACUUGCUCUGGGCAAAUUUUUAAAUUUUUUUGUAUUUGAAGACAGAGGCAGAGAGAGAGAGAGAGAGAGAGAGAGAGAGAAUUACUCCAUCCUUUAAUACUCACAAUAUCCAGGGCUGGGUAGGCCAAAGCCAGGAGACUGGAACUCAGUCUGGAUCUCCCACAUGGGUGGCAGGGACUCAGAUACAUGAACCCUAGCCUGCGACCUCCCAGAGUUCAUAGUAGCAGGGGCUGAAAUUGGAAGCAUUGCUGGGACUCAAACCCAGGCACUUCGAUACGGGAUGCAGGAGUCUCUAGUGGCAUCUUAAUCACUGUGAUAAAUGUCCAACUUUGCUUUUGGUAAAUUUUCAUUCAGAUAAAAUUAUGCCAGUACUUUUGUAAAGGAAAUUAAGAAUUUUUAUUGAAAAUGGGGCCGGCGCUGUGGCGUAGCAGGUAAAGCUGCCGUCUGCAGUGCCAGCAUCCCAUAUGGGAGCCAGUUCAAGAUCUGGCUGCCCCACUUCCAAUCCAGCUCUCUGCUGUGGCCUGGGAAAGCAAUGGAGGAUGGCCCAGGUCCUUGGGCUCCUGCACCCGCUUGGGGAGACUCAGAGGAGGCUCUUGGCUCCUGACUUCCGAUUGGCACAGCUCCGGCCGUUGUGACCAACUAGGGAGUAAACCAGAGGAUGGAAGACCUCUCUCUCUGUCUCUGCCUCUCCUUCUCUCUCUCUCUGCGUAACACUGACUUUCAAAUAAAUAAAUAAAUCUUUAAAAAAAAAAAAGAAAAUGGUGAAGCAGAAAUUUUAUGAUUAAUCUGAUAUAUGCUAAUACUAACAACUGUUAAUUAUUAAUGUUUAAUAUGUAUUUAUUUGUUACACUUAAUAUGAUCAUUAAAAUUCUUCUCAAGAACGUUAUUUUUUUUUUUUGACAGGCAGAGUGGACAGUGAGAGAGAGAGAGAGAGAGAGAGAAGGGUCUUCCUUUUGCCGUUGGUUCACCCUCCAAUGGCUGCCAUGGCUGGCUGGCGCACUGCAGCCGGCGCACCGCACUGAUCUGAAGGCAGGAGCCAGGUACUUAUCCUGGUCUCCCAUGGGGUGCAGGGCCCAAGCACUUGGGCCAUCCUCCACUGCACUCCCGGGCCACAGCAGAGAGCUGUCCUGGAAGAGGGGCAACCGGGACAGAAUCCGGCGCCCCAACCGGGACUAGAACCUGGUGUGCCGGCGCCGCUAGGUGGAGGAUUAGCCUAUUGAGCCGUGGUGCCGGCCAAAUUCCAACAUUUUUUAAAGUCAAUUACUUCAUAAGUUGCUACUCACAUGAUGUAACAUUAAGUAUGUAGGUAACUGGGGCUGGUGCUGUGACAUAGCUGGUUAAGCCGCUCUCUGCAGUGCCAGCAUCCCAAAUGGGCACUGGUUCAAGUCCCACACCCAAGUGGGAGACCUAGAAGAAGCUCCUGGCUUUGAUCAGGCCCAUCUCUGGCCGUUGCAGCCAUCUAGGGAGUGAACCAGUGGAUGGAAGAUCUGUUUCUCUUUCUCUGUAACUUUGACUUUCAAAUAAAUAAAUAAAUAAAUCUUUUUUAAAAAAGGAUGUAAGUAAUGCUUAAAAGCUUUUAUUUUUGAUAUUUUACACAUAUACUAAAAUUGACAUAUUAGCAUAAUGAAUAUCUAUCUACUUUUCACCCAGUUCAGCAAUUUUAACUGUUCUCCUCUCUGACCUAUAUAUUUUCCCUAUAUUGUUAUAAAGCGACUAUCAGAUAUUAUAUUGUUUCACCCAAAAAUACUUCAACAUGAAUCUCUAAUAAAUGGCAGUUUAGGAAAACUUAGUAGUAUUUCAUCAAAGAUAACAUUUUACAAAUAGUGUAACAUCAUCUAGCUACCAGGUCCAUAUUUUAUUUUCCUUAUGUGUCUAAACAAGAGUAUUUCCAUUUAUUUAAAUCAGUAUCCCAACAAGGGUUGCACACUGCACUUGGUUAAUGUAUCUCUAAAUGCUCUUUUAUAAUGCCGUAUAUCUGUUAAACAUGUUUGUUCAUUUGUCCUGAAGAAUUUUCCGCAUUCUAGAUAUAGCCAAUUGUAAUCACUUAUUCCUUUCUUUGCCACAUUGGCUAUAAAUUGAUAGUUUACAGACAUGAUUUAAAUUCAGGUUCAACUUCUAGAAAAAAAUACUUCAUAAGUGGUGGCCUAUGUAAUAACUUUCAUCAUAUUCCUGGCAAGUAUAUAAAUUAGUUUGUCUCACUUGUAAUGUUAAGAGUUUUUAGUGGGUUAAUGUUUGUGGCUUGUUUGAUAAAAAGAUCCUCAAUAAAUAUUGACCCAAUGAUAUUAAUCACAAAUCAUGGUGGUGUGUGUUCUGGAUCAAUAUAUUAUAUCAUUCAGUCUCUAAAUAGUGAUUUGCUAAUUUUUAGUGUAAUUUUUCUGCAUUUAUUAUCUAGAAUUCUUUCAUAAAGAAGAUUCUUAUGCUCCUCAGGUAUUUGGUUACUACUGCAGGCUGAUUUCUCUGGGAGGCAGACAGUGAAAUGGAGGUUAAUAUGCAGGUUCUGUAUUAGGCCUUGCUCUUGGGAUCCAUAUAUUCAGGAAGGGAAACCGAGACCUUCAGUUACAUUAACCUAGGUCUCCCUAUCCUGUGUGCCAGGACGCUUUCCCAAACAGAAACCUGACACUGGGUCUGCAGAUCUGCCUGGGUUGGAUGUUUAUCUUUUUUGGGUUUGGGCUAAUUUUAUUAUGGGCCUUGUCAUCAUCAGCUUUUUCUAAACACUGCCUUCCAGCUGCAGAAGAUGAAAGGUUACCCCCUCCCCAUUUGUGAGUCUAUCCACCUGUCUAUCUAUCUGUCUAAUACAAAGGAGGCCUAUAACACUUACACUUAGCUUUCAGUUGCAGAUUAAUCAGUCUUGGUUUUUCCUUUUUUCCAGUCACUAUACUGCUUAAAUUUACUAUUAUCUGAAGUGUCUGACACAUUGCAGCAGCCACUGCAUUUGACUUCGCCUGGGUACCAGUAUGGUGAGAAUAUCACUGGUUGCAUUACAGGAUUGUGCCAUAGUCUGUGUGUGAGCCGUCUGUUCUCAGGGGCAGGGUCCCCAUGGCAGGAGCAGGUGAUUCAGCUUUAAAAGCCUUAGACUGCUCUCUUAAGUCACACAUGACAACAAAUGUUUCCAACAGGUUGAAUUUCUUGGGGCGAGCCUGUUGGAGAGGGUGGCAUCCAGAAUAUUUAUUAGGAGACUCCUGUGAGGGGAAGGGCUCGGGGGCAGAGGGAGAACCUCCUGGGAGCAGUCUCAGCGAUAGCAUCAGCCAGUGCACGGCACGCUGGGCGAUUUCAUGGACGUCUGCGUUGGCUCAAAUUGAGGACUGAAUUUUGCACUGAACAAUGCUGUUGGAAAAGUACCACAUUUUUCUUGGAACUUUUUAGGAGCUCUUAAAAUUGACCAAUGUAUAUUAUAUGUGUGUGAUUACUUGUGGUUUUACAAAUGUAUAUGAGAACAGUGUAUUCGGUCCUUUAAACUCAUUUUAUUGAUGCCCAAGUGGUUCUGUUCCACAAUUGAACCUGGAGGAUCUUCUCAAUCUUUUCUGUUUCUCUUUGACAUGACCUUGUAGUCCUUGAUAGUGUUCUAGCUUUUCAGUACCACAAGAUGCUACAGGCUUGUUGGACAUGUUUUGCACCCAGACAUAGAAACAAUCAGUUCUCUAAGGAGGGAAGUGAAGUUCAGAGACCAGAAUCUGGGACCCAGAGAGUCACACUACUGCUUUGUCAUAGAUUUUGGAGCAUUUCAGUGCAGAGAUAUUUAUGCUGUAUGUAUUUUUUUAAGAUUUAUUAUUUUUAUUUAUUUGAAAGACAGAGUUACAGAGAGAGGUAGAGACAGAGAGAGAGGUCUUUCAUCUGCUGGUUCACUCCCCAGAUGGCCACAACAGCCAGAGCUGCACUGAUCAGAAGCCAGGAGCCAGGAGCUUCUUCCGAGACUCCUACAUGGGUGCAAGGGCCCAGAGACUUAGGCCACCUUCUACUGCUUUUCCAGGCCAUAGCAGAGAGCUGAAUCAGACGAGGAGCAGACGAGAGUAGAACCGGUGCCCAUAUGGGAUGCCUGCGCUUCAGGCCAGGGCUUUAACCUGAUGUGCCACAGCAUCGGCCCCAUCUGUAUGUAUUUUAAAAAAUAUUGUAUUUAUUUAUUUAUUUGAAAGGCAAAAUUACACAUAAGGAGGGAGGAACGUACUGAGAGAGAGAGAGAGAGAGAUCUUUCAUCCACUGGUUCACUCUUCAAAUGGCUAUGAUGAUUGGGGCUGGGCCAGGAGCCAGGAGCUUCUUCUGAGUCUCCCACAUGGGUACAGGGACUUGAACAUUUGGGCUAUCUUCCACUGCUUUCCCAGACAUAUUAACAGGGAGCUGGAUCAGAAGUAGAGCAUCUGGGACUAGAAUGGGUGCCCAUAUGGGAUGCUGGCAUCACUGGUGGCUUGACCCAUUAUACCACAAUGCUGGCCUCAUAUGUAUUUUUUAAAGGGAAAUAAGUUCAAGCAAUCUGUAUUUUUAUAAAACAAAUUACCACUGGUAUUUAUAUUAACUAUACAAGUGUACCUUUUAAGUUUAUAUCUGUAGUAUAUAUUUUUGGAUUUAAAAUAUUUCCCCCAAAUUUUCUUAUAUUAAAAGUUUUCUUUCCUAAUUACAUGUAAAUAUUUAUUUGGUUUAUCCUAACUGUAACCAUACACUAAUUUCAAAAUAACUGCAAAUAUUAUCAUAAGAAAUGCUACUUGAUAUAGAUUGUGAUUUCUUUGUGGUGAUUUUGACCCUUAGGAUUUAUCUUCCUAGAUAUAAACAGUUAAAAAAUCUGCAUUUUAAAAAUUACCCCAAAUAAUUCUUAUUUGUGUGGUUUAAUAACAAUAUGAUAUGCAGUUAUAUUUUUACUUCAAUUUUUGGGAGGACUAUGUAGUUUUAUUUCUACAUUUUGAUUAUAUAACAUGUAAAGCACUGACAGAGUUCUAAAUUUUAUGCGUAUGUGUAUAUAUAUGUAUAUAUUAUAUAUAUGUUACUGCAAAAAGUUAACGAGAAAAAUGUAAUUGAAAGACAAGUUUAGUUUGGUGUACUGACAGUUCUAAAUUUUAUGUGUGUGUGUGUGUGUGUGUUACUACAAAAAGUUAAUGGGGAAAAUGGAAUUGAAAGACAAGUUUGGUGCAAAAAACUAAAAUCCGUGUGUAGUUUUUUUUUAUGCAUUUGUAUGAACUUUUUGAAAGCCACUUUUGUGUAUGAAUUUCAUCAUUUUUGCACCAAGUAAACAUCUUUUAAGUCCAUCCUCUAGAGGUUUUGUAGCUCUUUAUAUGUACACACAACACACACACAUACACAUAUUCACACACACAGUGGGAGAUACUCAGUUUCUACUCCUGUGUCUUUACCAUAACUUUUUUUUAAACUUUUGUACCCAAAAACCUUUUAUUUAAGGUAUACAGACUUCAUGUAUUUCAUAAAUACAACUUUAGGAACAAUAAUUCUUCCCACUUUACCUGCCCUCCCACUCAUACUCCUACCCUUCCUCCUCCCUCUCCUAUUCCCAUUCCAAUUUUUUACUAAAAUCUAUUUUCAAUUAACUUUAUACACAGAAGAUUAACUCUAUGCUAAGUAAAGAGUUCAACAAAUAGUAUGGAAAAAAGAAAACUUCCCCAACAGUUUUUUGAUUUCUCUUUGAUUUCUUCUAAGACCCACUGUUCAUUGGGGAGCAUGUUGUUCAAUCUCUGUGUGUUUCCAUAUUGUUCUAGAGAUUUUUGAGUUGUUGAUUUGCAGCUUCAUUCCAUUGUCAGAGAAAAUGUAUAGUAUCAUUUCUAUUUGUCUAAAUUUUCUCAGACUUGAUUUAUGGUCUAGCCUGUGGUCUAUCCUAGAGAAAGUUCUAUGCAGUGGUGAGAAGAAUCUGCAUUUUUUUUUUUUUUUAAGAUUGACUUGUUUAGGGGCCUGUGCUGUGGCACAGCAUGUUAAAGCCUUAGCCUGAAGCGCUGGCAUCCCAUAUGGGCGCUGGUUCAAGACCCAGCUGCUCCACUUCCAAUCCAGCUCUCUGCUGUGGCCUGGGAAAGCAGUAGAAGACGGCCCAAGUCCCUGGGCCCCUGCACCCACAUGUGAGACCCAGAAAAAGCUCCUGGCUCCUGGUUUCGGAUCGGCACAGCUCUGGCCACUUGUAUAUAAUGUGACACUCACGUGUUUUAAGCCAUGUUUUCAGUAGUUGCUCCAUAAGUUACUCCAAACAAGUUUUUGAACUAGAAAAAUUCUCUAUACCCUUGUAGGAAAUUCACAAUACAAUUAACAUUAAAAGUCUAUGAAAAUGUCUAUAUUAUUAAAAUGCUCAAUUUUGUAUAUUUUAAUGUUUUGUAAUUUUAAAGGACCAUGGUUUAUUUUCUUCCCUGUACUAAGCCUGAGAAGUUAUCACAGCAGCAAAACUUGGUGUUGUUCUAAGUGUGGGCUAAUCUGCUUACUAGUGGCUUCGAUUAGCAGUUAUUGUGUUAACAUAAACCAUGAGAAUUAUAUUCAUUUGAGUUAGGAAUAUAUAACAUGUCAGAGCCAAGUUUUCAAGACCAUUUAUGUUAUAAUUGGAUUCAGCCAGUCCUUUAAUGACUUAACAAUCAGGCUCUAAUGUUAAAAAGUACAAGUAUUUAAUGACAGCAUUUUGCUCAUGGAGAAAUUCACCCAUAUUUAGUUAAGAGACGAGCAGAAGCACUGGCAGCAGCUGGCAGUGCUUCCGUGUGUUGCUAGCAACGAGAAACCAUGACAAAGCAGUGCUCAAAACAGCAGCCUCUGCAUCUUCUCAUCCGUGAGGAGAUGCUUUAAUGCUGCAGAUUAAUGGCUCUGAGGCAAAAAAGUAUUCGCCAUUGGAAAAUAUGUUCCACACUAAGAACAGAGUGGAAUAAUACCAACGAAAACACAUUGGGAGUGAAGCACACCAGCAAUUUCCACUGAAAUUAAUCACCCCUUUCCAAGUAGAGGAUGCUGUUUUAAAAUUGAAAUUCAAUCUUCUAGUCUGUGAAUUAGUUCCUUAUUUAAAUAAUAGUAAAGAUGAUAACUAGUUCUUAUGUAGCACUGAUUGUUAAAAACUGAAGUUCUAAGUGUCUUACAUUUGCUAAUUCAUGUAAUCUUCACAACUCUAAAUAUAGGUAGCUGUUUUUAAUAUACGGCUUUACAGAUAAGGGAAUUGAGAUCCAGAGAUUUAGAAAAAUACUCAAGACCACACAGCUGUUAGGUAGUGGAGUUGAGAUUUGAACCAGUGCCUCAGAGUCUACUCUUCACCACUGUGCUAUACUGCCCAGUGAAUACUUGCAACACCAGUUAGGAUUAUUUAGGUUUUCUGAUUAACUACUUAGUAAUUUAGAACAUGAUCUAAAAAAUAUUCAUGCCAUUACUAAACAGAGCAACUAGCACUGAACCUGGUGAUAUCUGACCCUAUUGGUCAAGUCCAAGGAAAGGAGUCUAGUGGCCAUGCCUUUGCUUUGUGGCAGCUGCGAGGAGCAGAGGUGUGUUCUGUCACAGUAAGCAGCUGGGGUCCUGAUUCAGGAAGACAGAAGCAGCCUGAAAAGCUGCAUGAGCAGGCCCCGCAGCAGGUAUUAAAUUGUAACUGUUGUGGUGUCCUGGGGAGAUGUGGAACUCUAGGCUUUACCUUCUCUCUGGCCAUCACCAGGUUACCUCAUGCUACCCGCAGGAAGGUGGGCCUGCAGGUCUCUCCCCUUGAUGCCCCUCUCAGUGUCAGUGGCUUUUCCUUGUGCUGCUGCUUACACAUUUGUAUUCAUCAAGAGGGUGUUUGUUUGGGGUGGGCCGUCGUACUCCGUGUAGGGGCAUUUCUUGUGCACAGACUCCCGUUACAGUCUCCUACAGAACACUACUUUGUGGUCCAGCAUCCAUCCUUGCUCUACACAUCAUGACCACGGUUGACAACUAUUCCUAAGAAAUUCCUGGGACCAGUUCCCUCAGAAGAGAGAAAAGAUCAGUUAGACAUUCAACAUGUUAUGUCCAAAUCAUAUUUUUACUGCAUUUCCUCCUAAAUUAUGUAAAUAUCAGCCAACCCAACAGCUUUUCUCAGUUAAGCUUGAUAUCAAUUAUACUUCAUAAGAUUCUUGUUUAAAAUUAAAGUUAUGCUUUAUGUAUAAACACUAAGGUAAAAUUAUUAGCCAAGUAUUGAAUCUGAAGAAACAUUAUAUGUAUGAUUUAAAUAGGCAUGGCCAACUUCUUAAUAUUCACACUUCUUUUCUUAUGGAGAUUUAAAAAUUGAGUACAGAUGUGUCUUUCAGUGAAGUAUUUGAAAUUUAAUAUUGAAGUCUUUCACAUAAGCCUUGGGUUAUUCAAUCUUGAUCCUAUUGAUUCUUUUUAUUUGCUACUAGAAAAAUGGAAUUACUGUGUAAUUUCUAGGUCAUUACAUGCCUUGUAGAAUUUAAAGGUUGUUGUCGCAAGUAAGAUGAUAUUUUAGACUGGAAGAAGUCAGGGUCUUUGAAUGGGUUUGCGUCCUCCUGUGUGUGAUUGCCUUGAAUCAAUGACGACACCCUGGCAGAGCAGAGCAUUCACCCACACUCCUCUCGGUAAGUAUCUCUUGUGAUGACUUAGUGUGUCAGACUUCUGAGCCGAUCCUCGUGUAGUGAGGAAAAUGAUCUGUUAGGAAAACAGAAUAAAGCUAGGAUAGGGAUAAAAAUGCUUGUGGUUAGCGGAGUUUUCUCAGAAAACUGAAACACUCAUGUCAAAAUUUUAAAAAUUUGCUUGCUUUUGCUAAUGUUUGAUUUGGCUUGAAAAAGAGUUUUCUUUGCUGAAUUAUUUCGUAACUCUUUACUUGAUAGUGAGAUUCCAUGCUCAAUAUAUCACUUCAUUUUGGUUACAAAUAUUUUUAUAUUUGGGGCCAGUACUGUGGCAUAGUAGGCUAAGCCUCUACCUGCAGCACUGGUAUCCCAUAUGGGUGCCAGUUCUUGUCCUGUCUGCUCCUCUUCCAGUCCAGCUCUCUGUUUAUGGCCUGUGUAAGCAGUGAAGAAUGGCCUAAGUUCUUGGGCACCCACAUGGGAGGCCCAGAAGAAGCUCCUGGCUCCUGGCUUCAGGUUGGCCUAGCUCCAGCCAUUUGGGGAGUGAACCAACAGAUGGAAGACCUUUUUCUCUGUCUCUCCCUCUCUUUGUCUGUAGCUCUACCUCUCGAAUAAAGGAAUAAAAUCUUUAAUUUUUUUUACAUUCGUUAUUUUUAAAAAUGUCCAUAUGUCACUUUUUUGUGAAUGCAAAACUCCAUUGUGUAUUUUUUUUCACCUGCUGAUCUGGAAAUACGUUGAGAAUUGUCUAUUAUACUAAAUUCUGGCAGAAGUUUGGGUUCAAGUAGCAUAGAGACAGCUCUGUGCUGCUCAUUAGUGGAAUGUUUCUAAGCCCUUGGUGGCAGGUAAAGGGAAGGCUCAUAAAUUAUUUGCAAGAAAUAGAAUAUAGUAGAUUACGAAUUGGGAGUUUGCUGCUAACCUGCACCACAAUUUGGGAUGAGUCACUUAAUCCCUUAACCCUUAAUGUCUUCACUGGCAGAAGGGGUAGACUAGUGUUUGUCCUCAGAAGUGCUUAUGAGUUUAAAAUAUUAAUACCACUUAUUUGGUACAUGAUUCACUUUUUAGGACAUUGGAAAGUGAUAUUUUUUUCUUAGUUGACUACGAUUAUUUCAGAAAUAGAAAAUCUGUUGCUAGAUAAUUCAUUGUUGGAGGAGAAAUAAUCCAGUGAUACAGAUAACAUAUAAACACUCCAUGCUGAAUAUUCCAUGAUAUCCUGGAGAAUCAGACUGCCACAGACAGAAGGCACUCCCAUAACUCAGUGUGUGUAGGCGUUGACUGUAGGUGUCCUGGAGUUUUCAUGCACUUCCUUGAGAGGCCCCGGGGAUGCAGUGGGGGAGUGGGAUUUGAUGUUUCCCACUCACAUUUUCUUGAAUAAAAGUCAUUUAUUUUUUAAAAAAUUUCUGUGCCUCCAAAAGAUUUAUAUGUAAUAUUUUACAAAAAAUCAUAUUCAACAUCCCUGUGUACAGAAAAAAUAGCUCUUUUCCAAAUCUCUGCCAAAAUCAUGCCAGUUUGUGAUUCUAAUUGCCAAAGGGACUGUAGUGUUUAAAAAAAAAUAAAAGAAAAACCUGCUUAAGAUCUUAGAGCAGUGUUUUCAACUUUGGCUGACAUUGGAAUCACCUUGAGAGAUUUGAAAAAAAUCUUGAUGCCCAGGUGGCUUUCAGACCAAUUAUAUACAGUCUCUACAGGUGAUUCCAAUGUGCAGCCAAAGUUGGAACCACUGGCUUAGUGGGAGGGAGAGGUGACUUUGACAUAAGUUGGUAGGGAAAUGUUUACAGAGGAGGUGGGCUCUGAGCAGAGUUUGACAGAUGGGCUGAAUUUGGAUGGAAGAAAAAAAAUGAAGGAUUUAAGGCAAUAGAAUAAUACAGAGAUUAUAGAGAUAUUAUCAAGGGUGGGGGAGAGAAAGUGAAUAAAUCAGAAGUGCAGCAUGACAUUAAGAAUCAGAAAUAACUUCAAAUUUUUAAAUUCUGAACCUGUCAUCUGCUACCAUAUGUGAAAAUAUGGGUAGGUUAUUUGAUCUCUAAAUCUCUAAUUCUUCAUCUGAAAAGUGGGAAACAGAAGUGCCCUUGGGUGGACUUUAACCAGGGGUAGACGAGAAAAUUCCUUCAAAGCGUCUCUCUCACUGCCACAUCGUAGAGGGGACCCAGGAUUUGGAUACUUUAACCAGCUGAUUAUCAUGAAAGUUAAAGUCAAUUGUUAGAUGGAAUCAAGGAGUUAAUUUAGGGCCAGAUUGUGGGGGUCUUGAAAGCCAAGAUAAACAGGUUGAUUUCUUUCUUUCCUGCUGUCACUGGAACCUGUUCUGGGGCACAAGAUCAAAGCAACCAGUAUUGAAUGUUGGAUCUGUGAAGUGGCCACACAUAGAAAUAGCAGAGGACAGCAGAAAGCAGGGGCUGGGAAACGACUCAGGGUACAGACGGUGCAGGUUCAGUAGCCCGGAAGUCAGGGUCCUGGAUUAGAGUAGGUGGAAACGAUGAUGAAAGCUCAUAAAACAGACUGGGAACGUUAUGGUAGAGAAGAGAAACUGAUUUGAUUUCUAUGGCAGGAAGGGAAUCUAAAAGAAAACAAGCCAGAGUGGCUUUGAGACUGAAAUUGUGACAGAGGAACAAGUACAUAGUUUGGGAGAAAAGGUGAGGCUUCACUGUGGACCUCUGGAGUCUGUGGUCUGGGCAGAACUGGUGAGACAGUUGGUAGCAGAUUGCUGGAAGUGCAGUUGAGGGAGGGGGAAUGAUGAGAGAAUGAUGGUUACGUGAGUAGAAGUCGUGGCUGAUGGUGUGCAGUCCUCCAGGUCUGGGAAGUCAGAGCAGCAUAACAUUGUUCAGAUCCCCCAGGUGACUCAAACUUGGGC